GUUUGAUAACCUUGGUUUCAUCACUGAGGGAAAUUUGCUACUGUCCUACAUCAUACCUUCCACUUGAGGUUUUCCAAUAAUCCUCAACCAUCAUCAUUGGGGACAUCUGUAACGCCCCGAGACCGAUGUGCCAGGUGUCUUCCAGUUAUUCGUUGUUGUUGGGGCAAAGUAAUUUGGUUGUGUCGUGCAGGUCUCUUCUUCAACCUUGGUGCCAUUCUUUGUCUCCUACAUGUUCAAUAACCUUGGUUUCAUCACUGAGGGAAAUUUGCUGCUGUCCUACAUCAUACCUUCCACUUGGAGUUUUCCAACAAUCCUCAACCAUCAUCAUUGGGGACAUCUGUAACGCCCCGAGACCGAUGUGCCAGGUGUCUUCCAGUUAUUCGCUGUUGUUGCCUUGUCAUCGCUUGUGUGUCAUGCAUUGCAUAUCAUGUCAUCAUGUGCAUUGCAUUUGCAUACAUGUUCGUCUCAUGCAUCCGAGCAUUUUCCCCGUUGUCCACUUUGCAAUCGGGCGCUCCUAUGUCACCCGGUGUCCCUUUCAACCUCUUUUCAUGUGUGGGGGUUAAACAUUUUCGAUUGGACCGAGACUUGCCAUGCGGCCUUGGUUUACUACCGGUAGACCGCCUGUCAAGUUUCGUGCCAUUUGGACUUCGUUUGAUACUCCAACGGUUAACCGAGGGACAGAAAAGGCUUCGUGUGUGUUGCAGCCCAAGACACUCUCUAGCUAGCCCAAAACCCACCUAAGACCUCUCCAUCAUCUAGAGCGUUCGAUCAAGAUCGCGUGGCCGAAAACCGCACCUCAUUUGGACUCUCCUAGCUCCCUCUACCUAUAUAUUUGUGAUCCCCUCCAAAAUUUCCGCAGAUGAAACCCUAAAAUNNNNNNNNNNNNNNNNNNNNNNNNNNNNNNNNNNNNNNNNNNNNNNNNNNNNNNNNNNNNNNNNNNNNNNNNNNNNNNNNNNNNNNNNNNNNNNNNNNNNNNNNNNNNNNNNNNNNNNNNNNNNNNNNNNNNNNNNNNNNNNNNNNNNNNNNNNNNNNNNNNNNNNNNNNNNNNNNNNNNNNNNNNNNNNNNNNNNNNNNNNNNNNNNNNNNNNNNNNNNNNNNNNNNNNNNNNNNNNNNNNNNNNNNNNNNNNNNNNNNNNNNNNNNNNNNNNNNNNNNNNNNNNNNNNNNNNNNNNNNNNNNNNNNNNNNNNNNNNNNNNNNNNNNNNNNNNNNNNNNNNNNNNNNNNNNNNNNNNNNNNNNNNNNNNNNNNNNNNNNNNNNNNNNNNNNNNNNNNNNNNNNNNNNNNNNNNNNNNNNNNNNNNNNNNNNNNNNNNNNNNNNNNNNNNNNNNNNNNNNNNNNNNNNNNNNNNNNNNNNNNNNNNNNNNNNNNNNNNNNNNNNNNNNNNNNNNNNNNNNNNNNNNNNNNNNNNNNNNNNNNNNNNNNNNNNNNNNNNNNNNNNNNNNNNNNNNNNNNNNNNNNNNNNNNNNNNNNNNNNNNNNNNNNNNNNNNNNNNNNNNNNNNNNNNNNNNNNNNNNNNNNNNNNNNNNNNNNNNNNNNNNNNNNNNNNNNNNNNNNNNNNNNNNNNNNNNNNNNNNNNNNNNNNNNNNNNNNNNNNNNNNNNNNNNNNNNNNNNNAGGAGCUCGCCGGAGCUCCCCUCCUCCGGCCAGAUCCGGUCGAGGAGCGACCGGAUCCGGCGACCUUGACAUCGCCGGCGACCUCCCUAUUCUUCUACGGCAACCGCGCAGCCCUACCCCGGUCAUCCUCGAUUUCCGCGCCGGACGAACCCUAGAUCUGGAGGUGGUAUUUUUCAUCUAAGUCCUCAGUUUGCAUUAAUUUUUAGGCAUCUUCAUCAUGUCGUAUCUCCGCAUCCGUAGCUCCGUUUUGGGCAUGUAGCAUAUCAAAAUGUUCGCCUCGAUGAUUACAUCAUUUCAUCUCAUUGCAUCAUUUUCAUUUGAAGUCAUAUUGUUGCCCGAAAUGCUGUUGGAAGAGAGCUAUAUGAGAUAUUUGUCAGAUCUGUUUCAUCAAAUAGAUAUUUGUCAUUUUUGCCAUGAUUAAUGUGUGCAUGCUAUGCUCCUGAGCUCUACAUGUGUUUUGUUAUAUGCCAUGUCAUCUUUACAGAGGUGCUUACCAUGUAUUUUUGUGAUAUGUGUGGUGACUAGCACAAGCUUGCAAAGUAGCGUAAUCGGUAAUGCUGUUUUCAGGGACUUAGAAUUUCUCUAAGUCCUUGAUCUGUUUUUGUCAAUAUGCCAUAUAUUCAUGUUGUUUCCUAGUGAUUCGUGCCUCUUUUGAGGAUGAUCAUUAAGGAUGUUUUGUUAACAUUGUGGUGCUCUAUCCAUCCAUGUCUUUGUUUGCAUUUAUGGAGCACCCUAGCUUGAGUCAACUGAGCUCUAAUUUUGCUAUUUCGUGAAUCCUGGCAGAUUGUUUACUUGUUAGCGAUUUUGCCGAGGAUGUUGUUGUUGAUCCGUGCAUGCUAUGUUGUUGUUCUUGCCAUGAAUAGCUUCUAUGCUAUGUAUUCUUGAUGGGUGUAUGCUUAGUUUGUCAGGCCAUGCUCUGUAGUGAGUGCAUCGAGCUCGUUAACAUGUCUACUUGCUAAUCUGAUUUGCAUGCUCCAGUUUUUCACUAAGUCUUAAUCUGUUUAUGUUUUGCCAUGUUCACGUGCUUGCAAUUGUAUUUUCUGAUCCCUUUUGGCUCAAGGUCACUAAGGCACUUUUGUUAAGUGCUUUGAGUAGCUUCAUUUCAUGCCUUGCUUUGCCAUGUUAAGUUCCUGCAGCAUAUAGUUUUCAUGAUCUAAAGUGUGCUACCUGAUGUUAAAUUCCAGACUUGUGUUAAUUUCACUAAGUCUGAAACCUGUUAUCGUUUGCAUUUUUGCCAUGCUUGUUUGAACCUGUUAUUGGAUGAAUUAGCUGUAGCUCAGUGUUCAUCUUUUGUCAAGCAUCUUGAGUGGAUACCUGCCAUGUAUUUUGUUGUCAUGAUUGAGUGCCGUAGCAUAUUUAUCUUGAUGCAUUCAGAUGGCUACUUGCUGUUUAUUGCAGACCGGUGCCAUAUUUGUUUUGCUUGCCAUUUCCAAACCGUGCAUCCGAUUCCGGUGAUCUUUAUAUCGAUUUCAACCGAAAUCACCUCACCUUUCCAGUGGCACUAUUGGAUUUCCAUGUUGAGGCCAGGUUCAACCAUUCCUUGUCAAAUCUUGCAUAUGCAUCGCAUACCGCAUCCCGCAUAUCAUACCAUGUUUCUGUGGUGGUUGUUUACUAUGUUGUGUGUUUCUUUCCGGUGUUACUUCUUCGGGUUGGUUCCGAUAACGUCGUGUUUGUGAGGACCCGUUCGACUACGUCCGUUUGUAUUCUUCAUGGACUCGUUCUUCUUACUUGCGAGAUUUUAGGCAAGAUGACCAUACCCUCGAAAUCACUUCUAUCUUUGCUUGCUAGUUGCUCGCUCUUUUGCUUGCCUGUGCUGCGAUACCUACCACUUGCUUAUCAUGCCUCCCAUAUUGUCAAACCAAACCUCUAACCCACCUUGUCCUAGCAAACCGUUGUUUGGCUAUGUUACCGCUUUGCUCAGCCCUCUUAUAGCGUUGUUAGUUGCAGGUGAAGAUUGAAGUUUGUUCCUUGUUGGAACAUGGAGAUGUUGUUCCUUGUUGGAACAUGUUUACUUGUUGGGAUAUCACAAUAUAUCUUAUUUAAUUAAUGCAUCUAUAUACUUGGUAAAGGGUGGAAGGCUCGGCCUUAUGCCUGGUGUUUUGUUCCACUCUUGCCGCCCUAGUUUCUGUCAUAUCGGUGUUAUGUUCCCGGGUUUUGCGUUCCUUACGCGGUUGGGUGAUAAUGGGAACCCCUUGGCAGUUCGCCUUGAAUAAAACUCCUCCAUCGAUGCCCAACAUUGGUUUUACCAUUCACCGCCUAGCCUUUUCUUUCCCUUGGGUUCUGCAGACUCAAGGGUCAUCAUUAUUUUAACCCCCCGGGCCAGUGCUCCUUUGAGUGUUGGUCCACCUCGUCAGCCGCCGGUGGUCACCAGGGGCAACUCUGGUCUGGCCUACCGGAAGUUUGGACAAUCUGAGUGUGCCCUGAGAACGAGAUAUGUGCAGCUCCUAUCGGGAUUUCUCGGCACAUUCGGGUGGUGUUGCUGGACUUGUUUUACCAUUGUCGAGAUGUCUUGUAACCGGGAUUCUGAGUCUGAUCGGGUCUUCCCGCUAGAAGGAAUAUCCUUCGUUGACCAUGAGAGCUUGUGAUGGGCUAAGUUGGGACACCCCUGCAGGGAUUUGAACUUUCGAAAGCCGUGCCUGCGGUUAUGGGCAGAUGGGAAUUUGUUAAUAUUCGGUUGUAGAAAACCUGAAGUUGACCUUAAUUAAAAUACAUCAACUGCGUGUGUUACCGUGAUGGUCUCUUUCCGGUGGUGUCCGGGAAGUGAACACGGUGUUGGAGUAAUGCUUGACGUAGGUUGUUCUAGGAUCACCUCUUGAUCAUAGUUGUUCGACCGUGCUUUGCCUUCUCUUCUCGCUCUCUUUUGCGAACAGGUUAGCCACCAUAUAUGCUAGUCGCUUGCUGCAGCUCCACAUAUUACCUUGCCUUUACCUAUAAGCUUAAACAGUAUUGAUCGCGAGGGUGUGAGAUUGCUGAGUCCCUAUGGCUCACAGAUUACUUCCAAAACCAGUUUGCAGGUGCCGAUGUUACCGAGCAGGUGACGCAACCAAGCUCAAGGAGGAGCUCGAUGAAGAUCUUGUCCUUUGUGUUGUUUCGUUCUAGUUGAUCAGUAGUGGAGCCCAGUUGGGGUCGAUCGGGGACCUUGUCGCAUUUGGGGUUCUUCUUUUAUUUUGGUUCCGUAGUCGGACCUUGAUUGUAUUUGGAUGUUGUAAUGCUUUAUUCAUGUAAUUGUGUGAAGUGGCGAUUGUAAGCCAACUAUGUAUUCUUUUUCCCUUAUGAAUUACAUGGGUUGUGUGAAGAUUACCUUACUUGCGACAUUGCUUUCAAUGCGGUUAUGCCUCUAAGUCGUGCUUCGACACGUCGGAGAUAUAGCCGCAUCGAGGGCGUUACAAGUUGGUAAUCAGAGCCUUCGCCGACCUUAGGAGCCCCCUGCUUGAUCGAAUAGCGGACGUUGUUGAGUCUAGAAAAAUGUUUUGAGUCAUUUAGGAAUUAUAUAUCAGAGAGUUAGGAAUUCUUUUUACUCCCCACUUCCCUUCAUCGCUCUAGUAAGGCAUCCUGCGUACAGUUUUGACUCUUCUCUUCUCAAAUUUCACUAAAAAAAUUUAGGAUCGCGUCGGUAUCUUGGAAUUGUUCCGAUCGAUUUGUGACGAGAACAUUGUUCUUGGUGCCUCCUGACAUUUAGGGGUUGUGGCAAUGUAUCGGGGAGUUGAGCUCCGAGGUGUUGUCGUCACAAUUUUAUCGUUGCAGUUCUGGAAUACUUGAGUUAGUUUCGCCGACAUCGAAAAUCUCUUUUAUGCAGUUGUUGGUGAGAUAACCUCGACGCCACCCAGUACUGGGGCGGGAGUUCGGGAGUAUUGCCAUAACUCGUAUAACGGAUGCUUUUCGAAGGUUGAGGUAGACGAUUUCCGAAGGUUUCUUGGUUAUGUGUUGAAGGAUGGAUACAACUGGAUGUAGGAUUUGCUAGUUUUGGGUGAGAUAUUAUGCUUCCCCUGUAUCCCCAACACCUGAUUGCAUAACCGGAAAAUUUCGGGAGUUUAUAAGCGGGAAUUCAAGUAGCUCGUAGGAAUUCUUUCCAACAGACACAUGAUACGAUAUGGGAUCUAUCACAUGUUUGUUUUCGGCUGAUUCUGCGAGUCAAUCCUUGUUUUGUUUUUGAGUUGUGGUAUUCGAGUUGCUUCGAAGUCAAAUGUUGAUUCCAUACUUUUCUAAGAGGUGUUCUCAUAUUGCUAUGUGAAUACAAAUCCUUCUUGAUCAUCGAGAUUGUCAUCUAAAUUUCUUCUCUACCGGCGUGUUUCUCUUCAAGUGGAUCCGAUCACUUCAACAUCCGCAAGAUCAACUCAAGUCUUCUCGAUGGCGUUCGUUUCAUCCAUCCCAAUUUGUCUUUGUUUUCCCGCCCACCCGCCCUUGUUUUCUUCAAGGACUCAGAAUUCUUAAUCAAGUGUCCUUUUAUUCAUGUGAAGUCUCUCCAUUCUUUCCUUCAUGUUCUUACCCGGUGAUUCUCAUGAAGAUUCUGACGGAGCUUCAAGUUAUCAUUAUUUGCUCUUUUCUUCUCCGGUGGAACCAAUUCAAGCUUUGUUGAUCAUACCUUUUCCUCGUCUCAAUACCUUCUCAUGCCAGUGCACUUUAUUAUCAUUCCACUUCUCACUAUUUAUUAUUCCGGAGUGCUCAAGAUAUCUCGAGGUUGUUAUCUCAUUCAAGACAUUUAAUUCUACCAGUGCAAUAUCUCUUUUCAAGCAAUCGUUCUAUGGUGUUCCUUUCGAGUGGGCCCUAACCCACAGGUCUUUUCCCAGGAUCUUACCUGACUCUUCUUAUUUUACCGGAGUUAUCCUAAAUUCUUUUCGAAGUUUGACGUAAGAAUGAGUUAUCAUCAGUCAAAUGUCUUUCUCCAAGUUCUUUCAAAUUCUUUUCAUCGUUGGAUCAACCUUUUCCAUUAUUCAUUCCGGAGUGCCUCAAUAAUUCUCAGUGGUGGUUCUCAUCAUCAUUCUCUGCAUUUGAAGACCGAAGAAGAGUUUCUCUUUAAUAUUGCUCCAUUCUCUUCAAAGAUUCGUGAUUCUAGCUUGUUGCCAUCCUCUCAUAAUUGGUUUGAUUGUGAGAAUUCUUUUCACCUAUCCAGAGCAAUUCAAGAUUCCUUUCAAUUUGAUUAUCCGAAGCCCAUCAUUUCAGAAGAUUUAUUCAUUCUCAGCUUUCAGUAACCAUUCUCCAGAUUUACCGGUGUUCAUUCAAAUAUUCUCUAUUCAGUUCGUGAUCCCUUCAUUCUCAUGUAUCUAGUUUGUCUCAAGUACCUUCAUUCAUUUGCUAAUUCUUACCCGAUGAUUCAUCCCUUUACUUCAUUCAUUGCAAUUCUUACGGUGGUUCGUUCAAGAUUUCUCUUCCUCAUCAAUUCAUUUGUUGUUUCAAUCCUUCCGGUGGUUCACUGAAGACCUUCCCAAGUUGACGCUAUAUCUAUCUUAACCCUUUCUACGAGAAUAAGUAAUACGUCAAACCCGUUGAUUGUCAUCAAUUUAACUGGUGAAGGAUAAGCAUAAUGUAAUUCUUAUUCUUGUUCUUCCAAGUGCUCAAUUCCUUAUUACGGAGGUCCAUAAAAUUCUCGGUUUCACUUGGUUCAUCUUUUCUUUUCCGGAGUUCCAAGUUUCCACUUUAUCUCGUCGCAAAGCUUCAUCUAAUCAUUGCAAGGCUUCAAUCUUUUUCCUUUCAUCCUUCUUUUCGUUUGAUCAUCCUCUUGUUACCGAAGUUCUUCAUGUAGGUUCUACAUGAUGGUUCAUAAAGGAUUUAAUUCCUUCUCGAAGUGUUCAUCAAGAUUCUUUUUAGAGGAGGUCAAGUUUUUCUCAUCUUGCAAUCCGGAGUGCAAUUCUUUCAACCGUAUCAUUGGAGGCGGUAUUAUGUCAUUCUUGAUGAUUUGCGCUUAUGUUUCAUAACUCACAUGUUGUUAAGAGUGAAAUAAUUAAAUCCAUCAACCUCUUCGUUGGAGUUAUCUCGUGUCACGUUUCACCUAAAGCCUUCCCUAAGGAUUGUUGCUAAUUCUGGUUCUUAUAAUGAUCCAAGUGCUUCAUUUAUCCUCCCGGUGAAAUACUUUCUCGUCUCCUUGUUCAUAUCAAUCCAAUUCUUUUUCCCGUGAGUGGCAGGUUGUCACCUCAUAUUUUGAGAUGUUUUCCAUAAGCCCACAUCAAGCCUAUCUUUUCGUUGUUGUUAAUCCAACAACUCCGUUCUAGCAUUUGUUGUAAGCGUGCUCUCCCAAGAUCUUGUUUUCCCCUUCGUUAACUCCAUUCUUACUUUUGUUCCGGAGGCAUUGUGUUGUUGCUCUCUUCAAACCUUCUUCUUGUUCUUGUCAGGAUCUUGUUCUUUUCAUGCUUAUCCAUCUAACCGGAGUGUUGUGUCAUCUCUUCUAGUUCUUUUCGCCUUAUCAAGCCUUGCAUAUCGUCUCAUCUUACCAAGUUCUUAUUCAAUUCCUUUUCUUUUCAAUCGGAAUGCUGCCUGAAGUUGUUCUCCCGUCUUCCUCUUUCUAACGGAGUGUUUUCAACUUCGUUCAUCUCCGUUGUAUUCUUCUUUCCAUUUGUGCAACCUCGCAAGGUUCUUUGGUUUCACUUGUUUUGUCAAAGGAGCAACUUAGUUUUACCUCUUCUUUUUCUCCUCCGUUUUUCCCUCCGGUGCCAUUCUAGAUCUCGGGACGAGAUCCUCUCGUAGUGGUGGAGUGUUGUAACGCCCCGAGACCGAUGUGCCAGGUGUCUUCCAGUUAUUCGCUGUUGUUGCCUUGUCAUUGCUUGCGUGUCAUGCAUUGCAUAUCAUGUCAUCAUGUGCAUUGCUUUUGCAUACAUGUUCGUCUCAUGCAUCCAAGCAUUUUCCCCGUUGUCCGCUUUGCAAUCCGGCGCUCCUAUGUCACCCGGUGUCCCUUUCUACCUCUUUUCGUGUGUGGGGGUUAAACAUUUUCGGAUUGGACCGAGACUUGCCAUGCGACCUUGGUUUACUACCGGUAGACCGCCUGUCAAGUUUCGUGCCAUUUGGACUUCGUUUGAUACUCCAACGGUUAACCGAGGGACCGAAAAGGCCUCGUGUGUGUUGCAGCCCAAUACACUCUCUAGGUGGCCCAAAACCCACCUAAGACCUCUCCAUCAUCUGGAGCGUUCGAUCACGAUUGCGUGGCCGAAAACCGCACCUCAUUUGGACUCUCCUAGCUCCCUCUACCUAUAUAUUUGUGAUCCCCUCCAAAAUUUCCGCAGAUGAAACCCUAAAUUUCCCUCCCCCCGCACGCCGCCGGACAUGUCCGCGUCCGCCGGACGAAAUCCCGCCGCCGCUCCUGUCUAGUGGCAACGUGCCACGUGUCCCACAUCCGCCGUCCCCUCCACAGGCCCGUGCGGCCCGGAUCGGGCCCGCGGGGCCCAACCAUCGCCGCCGCCACCCGCGGAGGACCCCGCGCGCGCCGCAUUCCGUCUUCUCGGCUUCCGGCCAUCGGAGCUGCGCUGGCCACCGCAGCGCUCGCCGCCGUUCGCCGCAGAGCGCGNNNNNNNNNNNNNNNNNNNNNNNNNNNNNNNNNNNNNNNNNNNNNNNNNNNNNNNNNNNNNNNNNNNNNNNNNNNNNNNNNNNNNNNNNNNNNNNNNNNNNNNNNNNNNNNNNNNNNNNNNNNNNNNNNNNNNNNNNNNNNNNNNNNNNNNNNNNNNNNNNNNNNNNNNNNNNNNNNNNNNNNNNNNNNNNNNNNNNNNNNNNNNNNNNNNNNNNNNNNNNNNNNNNNNNNNNNNNNNNNNNNNNNNNNNNNNNNNNNNNNNNNNNNNNNNNNNNNNNNNNNNNCCCCGCGCCGCGCCACCCUGUCGGAGCUCCCCUCCUCCGGCCAGAUCCGGUCGAGGAGCGACCGGAUCCGGCGACCUUGACAUCGCCGGCGACCUCCCUCUUCUUCUCCGGCAACCGUGCAGCCCUACCCCGGUCAUCCUCGAUUUCCACGCCGGACGAACCCUAGAUCUGGAGGUGGUAUUUUUCGUCUAAGUCCUCAGUUUGCAUUAAUUUUUAGGCAUCUUCAUCAUGUCGUAUCUCCGCAUCCGUAGCUCCGUUUUGGGCGUGUAGCAUAUCAAAAUGUUCAUCUCGACGAGUACAUCAUUUCAUCUCAUUGCAUCAUUUUCAUUUGAGGUCAUCUUGUUACCCGAAAUGCUGUUGGAAGAGAGCUAUAUGAGAUAUUUGUCAGAUCUGUUUCAUCAAAUAGAUAUUUGUCAUUUUUGCCAUGAUUAAUGUGUGCCUGCUAUGCUCCUGAGCUCUACAUGUGUUUUGUUAUAUGUCAUACCAUCUUUACAGAGGUGCUUACCAUGUAUUUUUGUGAUAUGUGUGGUGACUAGCACAAGCUUGCAAAUUAGCGUAAUCGGUAAUGCUGUUUUCAGGGACUUAGAAUUUCUCGAAGUCCUUGAUCUCUUUUUGUCAAUAUGCCAUAUGUUCAUGUUGUUUCCUAGUGAUCCGUGCCUCUUUUGAGGAUGAUCAGUAAGGAUGUUUUGUUAACAUUGUGGUGCUUUAUCCAUCCAUGUCUAUGUUUGCAUUUAUGGAGCACCCUAGCUUGAGUCAAUCGAGCUCUACUUUUGCUAUUUCGUGAAUCCUGGCAGAUUGUUUACUUGUUAGCGAUUUUGCUGAGGAUGUUGUUGUUGAUCCGUGCAUGCUAUGUUGUUGUUCUUGCCAUGAAUAGCUUCUAUGCUAUGUAUUCUUGAUGGGUGUAUGCUUAGUUUGUCAGGCCAUGCUCUGUAGUGAGUGCAUCGAGCUCGUUAACAUGUCUACUUGCUAAUCUGAUUUGCAUGCUCCAGUUUUUCACUAAGUCUGAAUCUGUUUAUGUUUUGCCAUGUUCAUGUGCUUGCAAUUGUAUUUUCUGAUCCCUUUUGGCUCAAGGUCACUAAGGCACUUUUGUUAAGUGCUUUGAGUAGCUUCAUUUCAUGCCUUGCUUUGCCAUGUUAAGUUCCUGCAGCAUAUAGUUUUCAUGCUCUAAAGUGUGCUACCUGAUGUUAAAUUCCAGACUUGUGUUAAUUUCACUAAGUCUGAAACCUGUUAUCGUUUGCAUUUUUUCCAUGCUUGUUUGAACCUGUUAUUGGAUGAAUUAGUCGUAACUCAGUGUUCAUCUUUUGUCAAGCAUCUUGAGUGGAUACCUGCCAUGUAUUUUGUUGUCAUGAUUGAGUGUCGUAGCAUAUUUAUCUUGAUGCAUUCAGAUGGCUACUUGCUGUUUAUUGCAGACCGGUGCCAUAUUUGUUUUGCUUGCCAUUUCCAAACCGUGCAUCCGAUUCCGGUGAUCUUUACAUCGAUUUCAAUCGAAAUCACCUCACCUUUCCAGUGGCACUAUUGGAUUUCCAUGUUGAGGCCAGGUUCAACCAUUCCUUGUCAAAUCUUGCAUAUGCAUCGCAUACCGCAUCCCGCAUAUCAUACCAUGUUUGUGUGGUGGUUGUUUACUAUGUUGUGUGUUUCUUUCCGGUGUUACUUCUUCGGGUUGGUUCCGAUAACGUCGUGUUUGUGAGGACCCGUUCGACUACGUCCGUUUGUCUUCUUCAUGGACUCGUUCUUCUUCCUUGCGGGAUUUCAGGCAAGAUGACCAUACCCUCGAAAUCACUUCUAUCUUUGCUUGCUAGUUGCUCGCUCUUUUGCUUGCCUAUGCUGCGAUACCUACCACUUGCUUAUCAUGCCUCCCAUAUUGUCAAACCAAACCUCUAACCCACCUUGUCCUAGCAAACCGUUGUUUGGCUAUGUUACCGCUUUGCUCAGCCCUCUUAUAGCGUUGUUAGUUGCAGGUGAAGAUUGAAGUUUGUUCCUUGUUGGAACAUGGAGAUGUUGUUCCUUGUUGGAACAUGUUUACUUGUUGGGAUAUCACAAUAUAUCUUAUUUAAUUAAUGCAUCUAUAUACUUGGUAAAGGGUGGAAGGCUCGGCCUUAUGCCUGGUGUUUUGUUCCACUCUUGCCGCCCUAGUUUCCGUCAUAUCGGUGUUAUGUUCCCGGAUUUUGCGUUCCUUACGCGGUUGGGUGAUAAUGGGAACCCCUUGACAGUUCGCCUUGAAUAAAACUCCUCCAGCGAUGCCCAACAUUGGUUUUACCAUUCGCCGCCUAGCCUUUUCUUUCCCUUGGAUUCUGCAGACUCAAGGGUCAUCAUUAUUUUAACCCCCCCGGGCCAGUGCUCCUCUGAGUGUUGGUCCACCUCGUCAGCCGCCGGUGGUCACCAGGGGCAACUCUGGUCUGGCCUACCGAAAGUUUGGACAAUCUGAGUGUGCCCUGAGAACGAGAUAUGUGCAGCUCCUAUCGGGAUUUGUCGGCACAUUCGGGCAGUGUUGCUGGACUUGUUUUACCAUUGUCGAGAUAUCUUGUAACCGGGAUUCUGAGUCUGAUCGGGUCUUCCCGCUAGAAGGAAUAUCCUUCGUUGACCGUGAGAGCUUGUGAUGGGCUAAGUUGGGACACCCCUGCAGGGAUUUGACCUUUCGAAAGCCGUGCUUGCGGUUAUGGGCAGAUGGGAAUUUGUUAAUGUUCGGUUGUAGAAAACCUGAAGUUGACCUUAAUUAAAAUACAUCAACUGCGUGUGUUACUGUGAUGGUCUCUUUCCGGCGGUGUCCGGAAAGUGAACACGGUGUUGGAGUAAUGCUUGACGUAGGUUGUUCUAGGAUCACCUCUUGAUCAUAGUUGUUCGACCGUGCUUUGCCUUCUCUUCUCGCUCUCUUUUGCGAACAGGUUAGCCACCAUAUAUGCUAGUCGCUUGCUGCAGCUCCACAUAUUACCUUGCCUUUACCUAUAAGCUUAAAUAGUCUUGAUCGCGAGGGUGUGAGAUUGCUGAAUCCCUGUGGCUCACAGAUUACUUCCAAAACCAGUUUGCAGGUGCCGAUGUUACCGAGCAGGUGACGCAACCAAGCUCAAGGAGGAGCUCGAUGAAGAUCUUGUCCUUUGUGUUGUUUCGUUCUAGUUGAUCAGUAGUGGAGCCCAGUUGGGGUCGAUCGGGGACCUUUUCGCAUUUGGGGUUCUUCUUUUAUUUUGGUUCCGUAGUCGGACCUUGAUUGUAUUUGGAUGUUGUAAUGCUUUAUUCAUGUAAUUGUGUGAAGUGGCGAUUGUAAGCCAACUAUGCAUUCUUUUUCCCUUAUGAAUUACAUGGAUUGUGUGAAGAUUACCUCACUUGCGACAUUGCUUUCAAUGCGGUUAUGCCUCUAAGUCGUGCUUCGACACGUGGGAGAUAUAGCCGCAUCGAGGGCGUUACAACAUCACCCGUCGGGCUACCACCUCCCCGCCGGCUGGAUGCUGAGCGCCGGAGGUGUGCCGGUCCCUCCUGUCCCUACCGGUGUGGCACGCCGGAUGGCCAUCACGAACCACUACUACCACGAGUUCACGCCGGAGCAGCGGAGGAAUCCCAACUAGCAUCCCGACUUGGGAAGCCUUCAUCAUCUUUCGGCGUGAGAGGGCGCUCGCCAGGUACGAGGAGGACAGCCCACCUCCUUCUUCGAACUUCAACGAGGCCGGUCGUCGGCUGUGGUGGCGCAACCGGACUCUCGAGAGCGUCAUGGCCAACAACACGGCCGGCGAUAGACUCCGCCUGCGCUACCCUCAAAUCCAGCCCACACGCGCGCGUGCCCAGCCUUCAAGGUUCAACUGCAGCGACGACGACCACGUCAAGUACUUCUGUGGCGAGUACUACUACGACUAUAGUGGCGAGUAUUACAGGUCUAGGCAGGAGGAUGACUGAAUCACUCCAAGAUUCCAAAACAAGUUCGGCCGAUUGUGACUUAAUCUGGCCAUGUAUCUUAAUUUUCAGUUGUGUCGUGUAACUUAGUAUUAGUCUAAUUGUACUUUAAUUCCAUUUCAAAUUGUAUCUUUAUCAAUGAAUUGGGAAUUCAAAUAUGCGCAAAUUCAUAAAUUGUUACUAGUUUGAAUAGUUGGAAUAAUUAUUUUUGAAAACUGAAAAUAUAUUUAGAUUAUUUAUGCAAUAUCAAUCACUUUUCAUAUUGAAAGUUUUGUCAAAUUUGUAACAAUGCAAAAAAUGUGAAUUCAAAUAUGCGCAAAUUCAUAAAUUGUUACUAGUUUGAAUAGUUAGAAUAAUGAUUUUUGAAAGCAGAAAAUAUAUUUGGAUUAUUUAUGCAAUAUCAAUCACUUUUCAUAUUGAAAGUUUUGUCAAAUUUGUAACAAUACAAAAAAUGGGAAUUCAAAUAUGCGCAAAUUCAUAAAUUGUUACUAGUUUGAAUAGUUAGAAUAAUGUUUUUUGAAAACAGAAAAUAUAUUUGGAUUAUUUAUGCAAUUUCAAUCACUUUUCAUAUUGAAAGUUUUUUCAGAUUUAAAACAGAGCAAAAACUAGAUAAUUUAAAUGUUUGAAAUAUUUAAAAAAUGGGCCAGAAAAUGAAAACGUUUGAACACAGCGCGCCAAAGGGUCAGACCCUUUUGCACCGGCUGGUAUUACAAACCGGUGUAAAUGGGUCUUUUACACCUGUUGGUAAUACCAGCUGGUGCAAAAGGGUGUGACCUUUGGCGCGCAGGAACCACCGCCAAAACACCUUUCGCACCGGCUGGUAAUACCAGCCGGUGUAAAAGGGUACCCCUUUUACACCGGUUGGUGUUACGAGCCGGUGACCCUUUUACACCGGCUCGUAACACCAAUCGAUGUAAAAGGGUGUUAGGGUAUUUAAGCCGGGGCAAGCCACGCCCCGGUGCAACACUUAGUAGAAAUCGAUGAAGACGAAGGGCGCGCGCAGAAACCACGCCGUCAGGCUGCCAAAAUCCGUCGCUGCCGCCGUCGUGCGUCGACUUCGGCCGUUCUCAGCCGCACCACCGCCGUGCGCGUCGAUUCCGCCGUUCUCCGCCGCCGCUGAACCUGAAGUGGCCGCCCGCGUCGCCGCCGUGCCCGCUGCGUCCUCCACUGCUCCUCGACGCCGGCGUCCGCGCUCCUCGUCGCUGCCCGCGUCGCCUGCGCUCCUGCGUGUGCCCUACGCGCCGCCGUGCUCGCCUUUCACCGUCACCUGCCUCGGCCCUCCUCCUGCAGGUGCCGCGCGCGCCGAUCCCCUCUCUGUACAGAGAGAGAGAAUUCUCUCUGUACAUAGAGGGUUUUUUAAGUUGUUUUUUUAAUUUACUUAUGUUGUAUUAGUUUAGAGAUAUGAUUUAAUUGUUUAGUUGUUUUUAGUUAUUUUUUAAUUGACUUGGUGUAUAUUGUAUUAGUUUAGAGAUAUGAUUUAAUUUAGUGUUUUUAGUUUUUUUAAUUUAGGUAAAUAUUUUAGGUAUAUUAAUUUAGGUAUAUAGUGAUUUAGCUUAGGUAAUUUAGGUAUAUUUGAAUAUAGGGUAAUUUAGGUAUAUUAAUUUAGAGAUAUGAUUUUAGAAUUAGAAAAUUUUGUUGUUAUAUAUUUUAGUGAUUUUAAGACUUAUUGAAUUUAGGACUUAGUGAAAUUUUAGUGAAAUUGUAGUGUAUUAUAUAUUGGUGAAUUAACUUGGUGAAAUUUUAAGACUUAGUGAAAUUUUAAGACUUAGUGAUUUUAAGACUUAGUGAAAUUUAGGACUUAGUGAAUUUACUUCGUAAAAUUUUAGAAUUUUGAUUGUAGUACUAUAUCUUUGUAAGAUGCCUCUUGUAAGGAAAAAAUUGUUGGGGUUCGUAGCAUGGAAAACAAAUUUUUUCCUACGCAACAACGAAUAAACCCUAGCCAAGAUCCAUCUAGGAGAUGCAUGCAACGAAACAUGAAUAUGCAAACAUGCAUAACUUGAUUUACAUACCAUUGCAAAUCAGUAGCGGAAGCUUGAAAGAAGGUGUCGACGAAGUCCGAUCACGAUCCGUUCAGUCUUGGCGAUCCGCGAGAUGAUCAAGCGCCGCAAGUGCAACGCCUCCGAGAGUGUUACACACGUACAGCUUGACGACGUCGGCGCUUCUCCGUUCCAGCGGAUACACGACAAAGUAGAGAGAUCACUUCAACGUCACGGCGGUGUGACGAUGAACGUGGCGCAAUUCCGGCAGGGCUUCGCCCGGACGGUCCUUCGGAGAUUCCCGGAACAAGGGUUCCGGCGAGAUUUCCGAUGAUCACCAACUAGAUCCGGAGACCUAGAUGUGAACUCGGAGGAGUAGAAGAUCACCGGGCACCGGGCACAACUAGCACCGACGCGGGGAGGCGACGGCGAGAGGCGGCGGGUGGCCGGCGGCAGCGCGGCGACGACGACGGGCGCCGGCGGCGGGCGGCGCAGGUCGGGUGGCGGCGGCUCGGGCGGGGUGCGGGUGGAGGACGGGGCUGCGAGCUUGUGUCUCGUGUUGUGUUUUGCCAUGCCCCGGGGUCUCGUUUAUAUAGGCGGCCACGGAGGUCACGGUUUCGGAAACCGAUAAAAACUCCGUACUCCAACCCAACUCAAACUCCACACUUGUCAUAAUUGGAAAAGAAAAAAGAACACACCGGAGGGAGGGACUCCUCUCCCUCCCCAAUUCGGCUAGGAGGGAGGAGGGAGUCCUCCCUCCCCACCAACUCGGACAGCCGGCCGGCCAGGUGCGCCUCGCCUGGGUGGGGUCGGCCCAGCUGGCCCGGCCCCACCCCCUUUCUAGAACUUUCCGAACUUUCCCGGUUUUACCCGAAACUUUCUAGAACCUUCCAAUAUAUGAACUUAGGGGUUUUUCCGCUAUUCCGAAUCCAUCCAUGAUACUCCCGAAGUCAACCGGGACUCCGAUCUUUCUCCGAACAAUAAUUGCGCCUAUCUUUCUCUCUUACCCAAAGCGUCGUACUGACUUAAGUGUGUUACCCUACGGGUCCGGUAAACAAUGUCAGUUGUGACUAUUCUCAUAGUCACGCGUAGUAGGGAGACUUUGGAAACGUCUAUGCUACCCCGACUGUUUACUCGGAUGAUCAACUUGAUCAUCUCACAAACCACUUUGACCGUCGAUAUAUAAUUCCCAUGUCCUGCGAUAUGUUACUUACCCGAGAUAUUGAUCGUCAGUAUCGUCGUACCUUAGUUCAAUCUUGUUACCGGUAAGUUCUCUUUUCUCAUAAUAACUAUUCACUCUCUUGAACUAGUAGAAAAAGGGUCAAAUAUGAAGCACAUUAGUGCUGGUUUGAAUUUGAGCCGGCACUAAUGUGUCCAUUAGUGCCGGUUCCAACGGCUAGGCAGGCUGACAUCAUUAGUACCCGUUCGUGGCAAACCUUUAGCACCGGUUCAUGCCACGAACCAUUACUAAUGAGGUUGUGUCAGGCUAGGGUCAGGCUGGGGCCCCCACGAAGACCUUUAGUACCAGUUCAUGCCAUGAACCGGUACUAGAGUUUCUUUGUAAGCUAAUUUUUAGUCCCACCUCGCCAAGAGAGAGGCAGUAUGAGCGGUUUAUAAGCUGUGAGUGCACAGAUAAUGACGAAGAGUUGCAAUGCUCACCUGCAUGUUGAUUAGCUUCAAGCCUUGCGGAAUAGCAUAGAUUGCACUGAGCUAUGUGCUAUGCAGUCUAAACUAUUCCGAAAGGCUUGAAGCAAAUUAACCAGCAUUGCACCUCUUUUUUUAUUUUUAAUAACUUAUUUGAACUCCAGACUUCUUUUGUGUUCAGUAUGCAGCAUUCAAAUCGACGUCAUUAAUUUCCAACACGUUCUGACAUCAUUUGUUGUUUUUCGGUCAUUUACCUAAUUGUUUAGAGAGCUAAAUGACCGUGAAAUUGAAAAUCACUACAAAAUGAAUCCUGAAAAUGUUGAAACUUGGCAUCGUAUCAUCAUUUCUCCCGCAUAGCAUGUGCGAAAGGGUAGAGAGGGUUACGGCAAAAACUGGAUGCACUUCGUGUACAAACUGGACAAACUCUUUCGGAGUAUCAGAGUUUCGGACGAGAACUCAUCUGUUACACGAUCACUUCAAUGUUUUUUAAACUUAUUUGAACUCCGUACUUCUUUUGUGUUCAGUAUGCAGCAUUCAAAGCGACGUCAUCAAUUUCCUAUAUGUUCUGACAUCAUUUGUUGUUUUUCGGUCAUUUACCUAAUUGUUUAGAGAGCUAAAUGACCGUGAAAUUUAAAAUCACUACAAAAUGAAUCCUGAAAAUGUUAAAACUUGGUAUGGUAUCAUCAUUUCACCCGCAUAGCAUGUGCGAAAGAGUAGAGAGGGUCACGACAAAAACUGGACGCACUUCGUGUACAAACUGGACAAACUCUUUCGGAGUAUCAGGGUUUCGGACGAGAACUCAUCUGUUACACGGCCACUUCAAUGUUUUUUAAACUUAUUUGAACUCCGUACUUCUUUUGUGUUCAGUAUGCAGCAUUCAAAGCGACGUCAUCAAUUUCCAACAUGUUCUGACAUCUAUAUUUCACACAAUGUAUUAUGUUUCCCCAUAACACAGUCAAGCAUGAUUUAUAUAGACGAUUAUCAAGAACAUGAAUUGGCUCAUAUAAUAAAAUAUACCUUUAUUAUUGUCUCUAGGGCACCGAUUCCAACAAAAAUAAGCCUCUUGUAAGUUGUCGACACCCCUCUCGGAGUCUCGUUGUCGAGACUCCGAGAGGGGUCUCGACAACUUACAAGAGGCAUAUUUUAGUAAAAUUAUUUAGAUUAUUUUGACUUAGGUUAUAGAAAUGUUCAUUAUAGAAUUUGCAUGUAAGUUGUCGAGACCCCUCUCGGGCUCUCGACAACCCUAAUUGAACAGAAAAUAUGCCUUUUGUAAGUUGUCGAUACGCCUCUCAGAGUCUCGCCAACUUACAAGAGGCAUAUUAGAUGUUCAAUUAUGGUUGCCGUGAGCCCGAGAGGGGUCUAGAGUCUUGUAAAGUUGUCGAGACCCCUCUCGGGCUCACGGCAACCAUAAUUGAACAUCUAAUAUGCAUAUGUUGAUUUUUUUUAUUGUAGAAUUUUCACAUAUAUAUGUAUUUGACUUGUACCUUUCAUUUGUAUUAGCUGAGCUAUGGCCGGUAGAGAUGGUGAAGACGAGUUCUUAAAGAUCAUACAUGAUGGUACGCGACCGAUCGCAACGCGGGAGGAAGAUGACGGCUCGCAGUACCUGAACGAUUCGGCUCCAGGAAUGGAGGAAGAACAACAUGAUGUGGAAGCGGAAACAGGCCAAGAAGACCACCAUGAAGACCACCAGGAAGACCUUGCCUUAGUAAAGGCCAGGGAACCUUCUGCUUCCAAGAAGACCUCCAGGAAGACCACCUCUGCAUCGACGGCAGAAUCAAAGAAGUCGAAACGAGGCCCGGCUAAAGAGAUGACUGUUGGAGAGCAUCUGAUAAUCGAAGCUGUCUAUCAUACCGGCGAGCCUUCUGCUCCUAAGAAGGUUGCAACAAAAUUUGCAAAUCAAUGGGGAGUAAUCGUUAGAGACCUGGUGCCGAUAAGUGUUCAAGAGUGGAAUCGGCCAGGAAAGGAAGAUGAACCAACAGAUGUGACAUUUGUCCCUGAUGAAUUGAAGAACCAACUUUUUGAGAGGCUAAUGACACAUUUCGGUUUACCGGAAUGCGACAGUGAAGAGGAAUUCCAGAGAAUGUUCGCCGCGCUCAGGCACUGGUCUCUGAAGAAGAUGGCGGAGGCUUUCAAUGCAUACAAGACCAGGCUAUGGAACACAUAUACAAAGAAGAAAACAGAUCCAGUAUUUGCGGGGCCGCUAGAGAAGCAGAAGCAAAACUGGCCGUUAUUUAAGGCAUACAAGGAAUCAGAUGCUGGUAAAGCUAGGUCACUGAAGAACAAGGAGAAUGCCUCAAAGAAAAAAUAUCACCACACUAUGGGUUCGGGAGGCUACAGGGCUGCACUGCCUAAGUUUAAUAAGCUAGAGGCUGAUCUGCGGGCUCAGGGGAUCGUCCCAGCUACACACGAUUUUCUCCCAAGAGCGAGAAAUUUGUUGCUUGGCCAUGGAGCAACGUAUGACGCAAACGGUGAUAUCAUUCCGAACAAAAAGAUAGAGGAACCCUUUAAUGCACUUAUUAAAGUCUUUGAAGCAAGAAAAAAGGGGGAGUUCGUGCGGGAUCGAGAGAGAGACGAGCUGGCGGAGGCCCUUGGGAAUCCGGAACAUGGAGGCCGGGUAUGAGGCUGGGGAAAUUAUCCGUGGUCGCAUGGGUUUUCCGCUGAAGACGCCCUAUUUCCACGAAAACAUGUUUUAGAGCCUAUGCACCCGGGUAUUCCUUAUCCAACCACUCAUUUCUGCAUCACGAUUCGUGCAAAUAAUUUUCUUUUUUUUGUUUCUCUCAUAUAGAACAUGUAUUUGUACUUCAACUUUGCAGCACAACAAAGCUUUCUAUGUAGAAUGUGGGAUAAAACUUACAGAUUUCUUAGUCCAACAUAAAUAUACAAAAUGAGAUUUAUUUGAUUAAAAAAUCUUAUUUUUCAUAUUUAUGUCGGACAAAAAAAUCUGAAAGUUUUAUCUCACAUUCUAGUUACAAAGUUAUGUUGUACUGCAAAGUUUGAAGUUCAAGACAUGUUUUAUAUGAGAGGAACAAAAAAGAGAAAAUUCCAUGUAAUAAGGUAGUUGUGUAGCACAGAUCUCAACGCAACAUUGGAGUGUUAGGAUAGUGAGGCCCGGGUGCAUAAGCUCACAGAAUCUGCAUUCCCUAUUUCCAUAUAGAAGCCGAGAGAGAGGAAAUCAGAGGAAGGAGGCGGAGGUGACAAAAAAAGUUUGCUGUACAUGAUGCCGAAUUGGCGGAGUUGAAACAGCAGAUGGCCGAGAUUAGAGGAAUGCGCUCCCAGCAGCCAGACGGUGAUGAUGGCCCAUCGCAACGCCGGAGCAGCGUGGCUUCAAGCCAGCAGGUCGCGCCUGACGAUGCAGCGGUGACACUAAAUGUGAUUGAUGAUGCUGCUGCAGAAAUGGAGGCUGUGGAUGCAAUCAAGGAGAGGACAAACUGUGAGCUGCAUGUGUCGGUGAACAACAUGUCCAUGAAGGUGGCUGACGGCUACACUUUGCCUUGUUCUGAUGGAGCAACCAUCCAUGGCUGUCCCAUUCCACCUGGAUAUGCUCGGGUGUUUGUGGACGAGAUUAUUCCGCUUUGGAGCAGACUGCAUCUUGAUCGCGCCGUAGGUGAUGGGAUAGAGACGCUAGAGCAAGCUGUCAACAACUUCAUAGUCUGGAAGAAGAAAGACAUCAUCAUUCCUCCUCCGGCGGCUCCUGCGGCACCUCCUUCUUCGAGAGGCGGUCAGUCACCACCACCACCACCACCUCCAGCGCCUCCUUCUCCGAGAAGCAGUCCACCACCACCUACAGGGAGUCCACACCUCGACGCUGUGGACCUCAGCAGCUCGAGUCUGCCUCGAUCUCCGCUGCCUCAGCCGACUCCGCCGCCCACUAACUCACGCGGGCAGAAGCGUAAGGGUGGUAGCACCGACGCCUCUCUGUCGAAGCUCCCGAAGAGAUCGCCAUGAAAGAAAAGAGAGCCUCUGCCGAAGGUUCCCAAGGCGCCGCCGGUGUUGCCCUACCAUAGGUCUGUGGAGGAGAACAAGGCGUGGGUGGACGCGGACACGAAACAGCAGAUGUCUACGUGGGGGAAAGCGAAACCCGCCUCGCUGCCAAAGGAGCCACUAGAUCCGAAAACGAAGAACCACUUUAAGGAUAUGCUGGACAUGCCAUCCCAAGUUCAGCUAAACCUAAACAGUGACUACGACCGCAAUGUAUUGAAGACUCACUCCGCAGCCGUGAAGAAGGGGAGGACAAUUCCCCAGCUUGGGGAGCAGAAAAAUCAAGAGAUCGCCCCGCUGAAGGUGUUAUCCGAAGCAUCCGAAGCCCCAGCAAACAUUGAUAUGGAUGUUGUACGGCAGUUUGCGAGAGAUACCGGUAUGGCUGUUCAGCAAUGUCUAAGCAGUCGCGACGGGGAUCUGCCUCCAAUGGCUGAGCUAGCAUGGAAAUAUGAGCUAGGAAAGUCUCUCAUCAGACCUGAGCAGCUCGGCGAGCUAACAACCAUGAAGCGUCAGCUGCAUCAGUAUUACUUGAAUGCCGCAACUAAAAACUGGAUCAGCUCACGAUCCGAGUUACAGAUGAACAGUUCUUCCGCAACGACUUUACCGUCAUUGAUUUUGAAGAUCUAUAUUUCCUCUACAAUUUCGAGGGCCUUGACAAACCGAUCCUCAGCACGUAUUGUCUGUAAGUGAGUACUUUAUCUCUGUAAUUAAGUCUCUACAUCUUCAUCUUGUUCGAUCAUUGCUUCUUAUAUGUUAUCCUCACUGUACGCCAUAUAUAGUACUAUGCAGAAUUAAGAUUCGGGAAGGUACCAGUGGCAUUGGGUUCGUUGACCCAUAUAUGAUCAAUGAUAAGAUGUUCUUAGACUGUCCCAAGGAAACGGAGAAUAACCUCCUGAACUAUUUGGAGCGGCAAUUUUUCAUGAGCGAAAUACUAUUUCCUUGGCGAUCCGGGUGAGUGUUACUGUCUUCUGCAUAUUCCUGCACAUUUCUAUUCUGCUAACUCGAUGCUAAGGGUAACUGAUGAGUAAUGUGAUUAUAAACAUGUGCAGUUUCCACUGGAUUCUGCUCAACAUUCAUGUUGACACCGGAGUCGUCGAUCUUUAUGACUCCAUGAAUAGGGGGCAAGCUGCAUACCCGGAGUUGAUUGCACGGCUCAACAGGUAAGUUCAACCAUUGUCGCACGGUAUCGUCCCCUUUUGUUCAAUCAGAAUCGUACGAUGACCCAUUUAUCCUUUUUUUUUUGCCGGACAGGGCUUGGAACAGGUUCAGGAAGAACCAAGCCGGUCUUACGAACAACGUGCUACGAUUUGAUAAAGUCAUCGUAAGUAGCACUUGCUAGAUUCACGCAUCUCUUUAAUUGCUUGACUAUUAUUUGAUUAAAUUCUUUUUCUCGUAAAGUGCCCUCAGCAGCCUCCGGGAACCAACUUAUGUGGAUUCUAUGUCAUGGAGAACAUCCGGAUUAAGAUGAACGAGCGGAAGAUGAACUCAAAGAAGUUGGCCAUCCACGACUUGCGGGAAGAGCUCCUACCGCAUGACCGCCUUUCAUCAAUCCAGGAGGAACUGGCGGGAUUUUUGGUUAAGGAGGCCAUAAAUCCCGACGGAGGAUGCCAUGUAGCUUGCAAUGAUCUCCGUCACCAUAAGAGAUCUUGAAAUUUACUCGAUGUAAUAUAGUCUCCAUGUGUAAUGCUCCUUGUAUAUGAUCUCCAUGUAAUCAUCGGAUUACGCGCCAUGAAUUAGUCUCGAUAUACUAUAUUGUAAAUGCUAAUAUAAUAUAUAAAAUUAUUUAAUUACGCAUGCGGCCGGAAAAUCACCCCAAAACGCGCGGCCGGAAAAGCACCCAAAACACGACAGAAAAUGAGGCCAAAACAGCACCAGGCAAGUGCUGCCAGGCGCUGCCACGUGUGAGCCCUUUUACACUGGGUUGUGUCCCGGGCCGGUGCAAAAGGGUGGCGAGCCUGGCGCGUUGGGCAGCCCACGCGCUGCACCCUUUUGCACCGGGCCGUAACCCAACCGGUGCAAAAGGGUGCACCCUUUUGUCACGGCUGGGCGGAAGCGGCUGGGCCACCGGUGUAAAAGGGUGUCCCAGCCCGGUUCAAAAGGUGUUGUUUCUACUAGUGAGAGUGGCCUCAAGCCGCGACAGUUUUAUUCAAUGGGAAGUACCAAAAUGAGCUUCUUGUCUCAGUAGUCGGUAGAGCAUCAAGUCCCAGACAAGUGCGUUGAUAAAAAAAAUUCAAAUUUAAAGAUACAAAAAAAUCUAGAAACAAUAUAAUGAUGUAGAAAUAAUAAUUCACAGUACUUCUGUGCAAAAAAUCGUAUGAAAAUACAUUAUAUUCUAGCCUCAGUAAAAAAGUGAAAUUUAUAGAUAUGGGACGUGAACAGUGAAAUCAGUGAUUCACCCAAAUUUCGUUAAAUUUGUCUUUUUUGCUGCGCCAAAAAUACAUGUAUUUUUGUUUUAAUUUUUCGAAUCUUUUUGUUUCUAAAAGCAUAUCCAUUUUUUUGGGGUUUGAUCUAACAGAAUGGUCUCAAUUAGUAUCUUGGUGAAGCCAAGCGUUCCUAUAUAAUAGAAGCACAUGGAUUGUCGAUCUCUCUGUCGGCCUCGCUGCAUCGUGUCGUGUUAGUCAUGAUAGGUGAAUUCAGUUCAUUCAGCAUGAUAGGUUGUAUUUGUUACAAAAUUCUUUUUCUGAAAAACAUAGACAUAAUAUGAUAUUUGUUGUGUUUGAAUUUGUGCCACUGAAUGAUGUUGACGCGCGUGCGCGCGCAUGUUUACUAGUUGUAUAAAAUAAGUCAACUUUAGAACCCUUAACCUUCAUUUUUUAUUAAGGAUUCCUACCACUGUACCUAGCUAGAAGAAGUUGUUCUGAUAACAGUUUCGGCACAACCUCUCGGAUUUAUAGCCGGUGUGCUUGUUUACGAUUUAUGAACAUGAAUGGUCUUAAACUUGGGAUGACUCCCCGACCAUGGAGAAAAUUCAAAUUUAAGUCCUUUCCGGCGAUUAAAUAUUUCGCGGGCAUGUCGUUGUGAUCACAUACCACAUUUUAUGUGGUUUAAAAUGUCGUUAACACACAAAAAUGUGGACCUCAUCCAAACAGAAUUUUUUUAGAUUUUAAAAAUAGUUUCAAAUUGUAAUCUAUCAAAAUGAAUUGAAUUGUAUUGGAUUCUGAAAAUUGAACUAAUUGAAAUUUAUUGAAUAUUCUCCAAAUUUUCGAGGUUCAGAAAUAUUUUGAUACCCAUGGAACGUUCGUCAAGAUUUCUUUGAAAUUUACGCGCGAAAAAGAAGAUUUCUUUGAAAUUCACCACUCGGCUCAAAAAAGCUGGUUAACUCCACUCGUGUAACUCGUGAUUUAGCAUUUAAGUCAUCAAGCUCAUUAUAAAAUUUAAGCCAUCUAACUCAUGCAGGAAAGUAUGGGUAUAUUCCAUGUAAGGAGUUAUUUGUGGUUGAAAAUUCUGGCAACACAAAUUUUUAGGACUUAGGGUGCGAAGAUAAACAUCCUUGUUUUGCUAUGACUUGCACUUCUGGAUCCCGGCACGUAAAAGUGAGCGACCACACUUUUUUGAACAAAAGGAAAGAAAUUUCAAGAGAUUUCAAAAGUUCCUUUAAAUUGUGUUUCACCGUGAUCGACUGUCAUUUAACAAAAUUUUAGCUUAUGUUCAAAUUAAAUUGGUCCUUAUCCCCAAUUUCGACGUUUGAAAUAGCACUAUUUCGAAUUUUUUAUAAUCACCGUGUUGGGAUUUUUUUUGGAACUGUACACACAUAGGAAUAUGAUGUCAGAUAUAUACGCCAUUCAUAAACAUGCACGUUCAGUGGCUGCACACGCGUCAGAGGGCCACGUCGCCACGGUGUACGGCGACGUCGAGCCUUGGACAAGAGGCGUCGUGGGAAAUCAGGGACGACGGGACAGGAGAGGUGUGGGGCUGCUGCUGCCGCCUCUGCCGCCACCGCCGCCCCUUCCGCCCACGCCGAUGCCGAUGGCCCGAUGCGGCCGAAAGCGAAUUUUUCUGCGACACGGGGUGGCUGAAAACCGAACGGAUAUACCGCGGAUGCCGUCGCGUGUAGUCACAUUGCUUCUUUCAUUACCUGCGUGAGCACGUCGUCGCCGCCCAUUCCAUUCCAUCGUCUCUGCAGCUACAGCGGAUGCACCGUCCCCUUCUUCAGCUGGUGCGUGCGCAGGCCCUUCUGGUAUACAUUAUGGGAGUCUUUAAAUUGCCUUUCGGUCUUUGUGAUGAGCUUACACAAAUGAUUCACGAUUAUUGGUGGGGCAAGGAAGAAGGGAAAAGGAAAAUGCCAUGGGUGUCAUGGGAUAGUAUUCUUCGACCGAAAAAUAGAGGCGGAAUUGGGUUUCGUGAUUUAAGGUAUUCAACCAAGCUCUCCUCGCACGACAGGUGUGGCGUUUUAUUCAAUUCCCUAACGCGUUGUGUGCUCAAAUAUUAAAAGCAAAAUACUACCCCCAUGGAUCUCUACUUGACACGGUAUUCUCGGGAAGCAAAUCAGCAACUUGGUUAGCAAUUGAACAUGGUCUGGAACUGUUCAAGAAAGGGGCAAUUUGAAGGGUUGGCAAUGGUACUAGUAUACGAGUGUGGCGAGAUCACUGGAUCCCCAGGAGCACAGUCUAUACACCGAUAUCUCGUCAACAAAACUGCAGAUACCGAUGGGUUUCGGAUUUUCUGAACACGGAUGCAACGUGGAAUACUCAACGCCUACGACAACAUUUUUUGGGUAUGUGUUAGAAUGAAUCUGAGGUAUUAUCGUUGAUCAUCCGAGGACCAAGCAAUCACACGAGCACGACACCGAGAUUUGUUAACGAGGUUCACCGAUAUGGCUACAUCCCCGGGGCUUGACUACGGGCGCUCCUCCCCGUGACACCGUCAUAAUACCGCACACCGGCCAUCCGGGCGCCGGCACACGCCGCCGGCUCCUUCUUGCACGCCUGUGCUAUUAUGUUGGCAUAGGUUAUAUCGUGUGUCUAUCCCCGCUAUAUAUGAGAGGCUUAGGAUACAAGUGUCUUAUUAGGACACAACUUCAUAUCCUAUGUAAACACAAUACAACUCCUAGCCCAAUUGUAACCUAUCUUGUACACAAUAUUCGACACGACUCUAACAAACGCCACCUUGGCGAAUAUUCUCCACCACCUUGAAUUCGUCAAUGUGUCAAACUUCCAUGUACAUUGGACUUGAGCUUAUCCCAUGAGUACCGCUGCUACUCCAAAGACUCCAUGUGACUUCACCUGCAACUUGUAGUCCAUUCUUUUCUUGACCACAGUCAACGCUCGAGUAAAAUUAAGUUCCUUGUUACUCUAGGUGCUCCCAACUUCCAGAGUAUCAGUCCAACGUCAUCACACACUGAUCACUGACCUGCGUGAAAGUGAACAACUCAUAUAUUAGGUGUCACACGUAAGAGUUACCUGAACUCAAUAUCACUGCUCCUUUCUUGACUGCAUGUCUGAAACUUGAAGGAAUUUUACCGUUUCUUGUAGUCAUCCCGAGUCAAAUUCGCAGUUGUCUCACCACAUGUAUGACCACCAGAGCCCUGGCCCGUCUCCAUGUCCCGUGUGCGCUGCACGCCUCGCCGCUAUUACCGCGUCGAGCCUCUGCAGAGUACCGCCGAUCAACACCGACCGAUGGCGAGUUUCACGCUUCCAUCAGACCACUGGGCUCCAGUCCGAACUGCAUGUCACUCGCUUUUUCCCCUUGCUGAAUAGGCUUCGAUUUCCUAGAUCCUUACAUCGUAGCCCCUUAAUCCAGCUCCACCUUGAACAUGACUCCAUAGUAGAUGAUCAAUCCACCCACGCGCACCGUCGACUUCAAGCUCUCAUGUGCACCAUCUUGAAUCAACCCCGCGCCAUAGUCUUGUCCAAGCCACACAAGUACUCAGGCCCGUGUUGCGUGUUUCCACGCCCCAGAAGUCGGUCACCAUUAGCAUCACGCUCCUAGGUCGUCAUCGCCGGUCUCACCACCGUCUUCUGUAUCAACCGACUCGCGUCGAUCCGUCAGACUGACAAGUCUGACCCAGCCGAUCUCGUUCGACUGUAACCAUGCUCCACCCUGCACCAUGACUGCUCGUACAUCCGUGCAUAUCUUGAACGCCAUGUGUAUGCAUGAUUCCAUAUGACACGCUUGUCCGCGCGCCUCCGCAACCUAUCCACGUGUUCCAAGCCAUCUCAGCAAAUCGAUCCAGAAAAAACUUUGAUGAAAACUGCACAUAUUUUCUUCUUUCAUGUCACUAUUUGCUGUUGCUUCUCCGUGUACCUUAGCAGAACAGGACCGAUUUUGGUCCACCCACAAACUGCUCUCGUGCACACACACAUGGUCCUGGUAGCCCUUUUUUGUCUCAAACAAAUCCUCGGUUUUGAUUCCUUUGGCUCUAGCACAACGCAGCAACCAGCAUUGCACCCUUGCACAGCGCACGGGCACGCCUGCACACCACAAGUCACGAACCGCUAGACGCUAGUGCCCUAGCGACUACGCAGCUGCUCCACGCGCAUGCGACCGCAGGCCUCACGCCAGCCCGUGCCUCGGGCCGCUACUGGACCUGCAGUCCGCACAAACACUAUGGGCUGGGCCUUCACGUCUCGCACCCUGUUGCUGCGCCUGGUUUCCGAUCGGAUCGAUCGAUCCAAUCUGACUACUGCUUGAGCGAUACAUCGCGCCGCCGCCGAGAACUUCUGCCUGCUUCUAAUUGCUUCUGCCAAUCUCGUCGAGAACCACGCCAAAGCUGGUUGCAUCUCAAACUCGAUACUUUUUCUAGAUCAACAAUCCACAGCCUCCGAACAAGCUAGCUCAUGAUACCACUUGUUAGAAUAAAUCUGAGGCAUACCAUUGAUCAUCCGAGAACCAAGCAAUCACGCGAACACAGCACCGAUAUUUGUUAUUGAGGUUCAUCGAUAUGGCUACAUCUCUAGGGCUUGACUACGGACGCUCCUCCCCGUGACACCGUCACAAUACCGCACACCGGCCACCCGGGCACCGGCACACGCCGCCGGCUCCCCCUUGCGCGCUUGUGCUAUUAUGUUGGCAUAGGUUACAUCGUGUGUCUACCCCCGCUAUAUAUGAGAGGACUAGGAUACAAGUGUCCUAUUAGGACACAACUCCACAUCCUAUGUAAACACAAUACAACUCCUAGUCCAACUGUAACCUACCUUGUACACAAUAUUCGACACAACUCUAACAGUAUGAACGUGGAAGCCAUUCUGAAGAUUAAACCAUCAAGGAGUAAUGCCUCAGAUCGGUUAGUAGUGCUUACAAAUUGGCGUUUAACCUGCGUGAAUCGGAGCUCAAUACAGGUUCAUCCAGCGUAAAGCCGGAUGGCGGAAGACCGAUAUGGAAAAGUAUUUGGCAGUGCGCAGUACCUCCGAAAGUUCGCACUUUGGCCUGGAAAAUUGCACGUAAUGCACUAGCCACUCAAGUAAACAAAAGAAGAAGAGGAAUUGAAACAACUCCACUCUGUUUGCUAUGCGGUGAUGAGGAAGAGACUACUUUCCAUGUCUUUCUACGCUGUCCACAUGCACGGGGUCUUUGGCAAGCUCUAAGCCAGGACUGGGAUCUGCCUCCACUUGAUUCAAUUGCUAAUACUAGCAAUGAGUGGCUGCUCCAUGUUUUGCAGGAAACGACGAUCACCCAAAAUGCACGGAUACUAAUGAUCCUAGGGCGCAUCUGGUUAGCGCACAACGAGGCGACGCACGAUAAACCGCUCCCUCCCAUAGAAGGGUCGCGACGAUUCCUGCUUAGCUACCUGGAUUCUCUUACGGCGAUCCAGCAACACCCUCAAGCAGAUGUGGCGAAGGGGAAGGAAGUCAUCGAUCAUACCACCCACCGAGCGACUAUGGCGACUCCCUGGGCGACCGUGGAGGCGACCGUCGAGCCGCGUCCCUCCGCGGCGGCGGCUCGGGCGGGCGUCGGCGGCCGUUUCUGGGCCCUGCUGGCAUCGGACGAUGAGGAUGCCGACGGGGACGGAGAGGAUCCAGGGGUUCACCGCUGUCGCCUACUCCUUCGGAUUUGAUUUGCGAUUUCUUUCAUUUAGGCUAUGACGAAGAUGAGGUGGCCACAACCAUAGACAACGUCUUGCCGGUGGAGGAUCCGGCGCGGAUCGGACUUCAUCCGGACGAGAGGAAGGAGAUGGUGCGACGUGUCGUUCACCGGAGAACGGCGGUGUCGGCGGUCAGGCCGUGGAAGGGCCCUUUACCUAAGGUACGACUUCCAAACCUCACGCUAUUCGACUUGAUUCAUCCGGAUUCGUGGACUGUGGUUAAGAAGAGGAGGCCGGUUCGUCGGUUGAGGGCCAGAUCGUUGCCGCCGCCGGCGGCUACGGUGCCGUCGAGGACGUCGGUCGGGAUCUGUGCGGCUCGUCGCGAGCGUUUGAACCAGCUGCUGGGCCGAGUUGGGCCGGUUUUGUUGAUUUUUCUCGCGCGGCUAGAUGGGCCGGAGAUGGCUGGGUAUGAGGCCCAGGCCAUACCGGGUACCACAUGCAUCGACGCGGCCGCUGCAUGCACGGAUGAGAUCGAGACUUUCCGUGCAAGCGUGAUCAUUUCUCAUCCCUUGCCGGAACGGGACGCCUGUGUUCCCUCCUUGCGGCCCUGGCCGUGCUCGUCGGAUCCCUCCACUUGGCGCAAUGGCGGGCCGAGAAGCAGGAGGGCCGCCGGCGUCGAAGCCCCAGGCGGCUUCGGGCAGUGACAAGGCCGGGGCAGUUGUGCCGCCGCCGCCUGGAGGUGCUGGACGAGGGGCCGCCGGCGCAGUUGUGCCGCCGCCGCCUGGAGGUGCUGGACGAGGGGCCGCCGGCGCUGGGCCUGGCGCGGCCGGUGCUGGUCUGGCUGUAGCCGGCGCCGGGCGGGGCGCUGCCGCUCCUACUUUGGCUACGGGGCGGGCAGGCGGCAACAUCNNNNNNNNNNNNNNNNNNNNNNNNNNNNNNNNNNNNNNNNNNNNNNNNNNNNNNNNNNNNNNNNNNNNNNNNNNNNNNNNNNNNNNNNNNNNNNNNNNNNNNNNNNNNNNNNNNNNNNNNNNNNNNNNNNNNNNNNNNNNNNNNNNNNNNNNNNNNNNNNNNNNNNNNNNNNNNNNNNNNNNNNNNNNNNNNNNNNNNNNNNNNNNNNNNNNNNNNNNNNNNNNNNNNNNNNNNNNNNNNNNNNNNNNNNNNNNNNNNNNNNNNNNNNNNNNNNNNNNNNNNNNNNNNNNNNNNNNNNNNNNNNNNNNNNNNNNNNNNNNNNNNNNNNNNNNNNNNNNNNNNNNNNNNNNNNNNNNNNNNNNNNNNNNNNNNNNNNNNNNNNNNNNNNNNNNNNNNNNNNNNNNNNNNNNNNNNNNNNNNNNNNNNNNNNNNNNNNNNNNNNNNNNNNNNNNNNNNGGCGGCAACAUCGGGCCGCGGCCGCCUGUGCUUGCGGCGGCCACGCCGCCUGUGCUGCCGGCGGGUAGAGGAGGCUCGGCUGGACACCGACCGACGGGGCCAACGCCUCCAGUGCCUGCUGCUAUGGGUCGGGGCAGCGGGUCUGGCCCGAGACCGGUGGUGCCGGUUCCUGUUGGCGGUCCGCCUCGGGCCGCUCCGGCGCCACACUUCGUCGCGAGGCCGACUCUGAACCGUUCGGGACCUUCGCAGACGAGGCAAAAUUCGACUGCUAGAGAGUCCUUUGAGCAGCCCCGAGGUCAGUGGGGGGAUGAUGGUGUUGAUGCGUAUGGAGACGGAAAGCACCGUGGUUCCUCGUCUACGGGUGGCGGUCGAGGCUAUGCCUGGCAGAGUGACGGGUCUGCUGAGAGACCGUUUCUCGGACCUCCUGGUGGCUUUGUCGAGGGGGCCUCCGGUCCGGAUCACCGCCAGAGAGGUGGCUACAGUGGACAUCGGUGUGGUCGGGGUGGUGGUCGUGGGAGGUAUCAUCGACAGCCUCCGCCCUCGGCUGUUGUUGACCAUGCGGCUACGGCCGUUGAGGCAGAUAACACUCAGUCUACUGAUCUUACUAGCCAGGCGAUGGAUGUGGUGACGGCCCUGGCCAAUGUUGAGGUUCCUGUGCCUGGGAAUGUGGCUGAGGUGUCUGACAGGUCUGAUUCAGAGAGGGCAUCCAAGUGGGCGCGCAAGAAGGAAAGGAUGCUUUGUUACCGGUGUGAUGAGAAGGGCCAUUUCAUUGCGGAGUGCGUGGCAGAGCUGUGUGACUCGUGUGGCAAGCCAGCACAUGCUUCGGGAGACUGCCCGUUAUUGUGUGACCAGGCUCCGGCUCUGACAAUGUAUGGGCUAUACUGUGCAGAGCUUUCGUUUUUUGAGUCCCCGGCCGCAAGGGAGAUUCCCGAGGAGACACAGAGCUUGACUACCGGGAUUGUGAAAGCAACCCAGGGAGAGGUGACUGAGGCUCAGAUUGUCCGGAGGCUUUAUGAGCUGGCACCGGGGGACUUCCAGUGGGAGCUGGUCAGCCUCGAAGCUAAUGUCUUCAAGGUGGAUUUCCCGUCUGUGGAUGAUUUGCAGAAACUGCUGAGCUUUGGCUUGUGUAGAGUUCCUGGUACUAAGUGUAUUUUGGAGUUUCAUGAGUGGACGAAGGUGGAGCCUAAAGGAAAGCCGCUUACGCAUGUCUGGUUGAGGUUUUCUGGGGAUCCAUCUAAGCCUUUGCAGGAUGUUCAAGUUGUGGCCAGUAUGGGUAUCAUGGUUGGAAAGACGGAGAAAGUGGAUAUGGCUUUUACCCUUGCUCAUGGAGUGGCCCGGAUUUUGGUGAGUGUUCUGAAUAUUGAGUUCGUGCCCGAUGUGGUUCACUGGACAUAUAGGGGAGAGGUAUUCCCUCUUGACAUAGAGUUUGAGGACACUGAUCUGUUUGCUGAGAAGGUUAAUGGGAAUGAUGUUGAUAUGCACGAGGGUGACGACGGUGCAGGAGCCAAGGGGGCACCGACAGAUUCUACUCGAGAGGGAUCUAUCGGUUCUCUCCCAGAUGCUCAGUUGCCCGGGGAGGGGACCGGGGUUGAGCCGGCACCCUCACCUUCGGUGCCUAUGACUUCGUUGCGUUUUGGGUCUUUUGAGCCUGCCUCAGCGCCUCCCAGACUUUGGAGUGAUCGGGUGGAGACUGAUGAUGUGUUUGAACACACGCUUCCUCUGUUGGAGUUUGAGGGUGCUACAGUUGGGGAAGUGGAGCCGGAGGUCGCUUCUAUUUCCCUUGCUUCACCAGUUGUCGAGGCUACGGUGAUGUCGUCUACGUUCGAGGUGGGGCUUGGGGGAGGGGGUCAGGGCAGGUGGCCUUGACUUCUCCACUCUCUAUCCCGACACCGGUGACGCCGGUCGCGUCGGGGUCGGCCAGCGCUGGGAGAGAGAGCCCGAGGCAGGCGGCCUCAGCUCUUCCUCCUCAGGUCAUGGCGGUGGCGGGAGCAGGUGUCCCUAGACCUCCCUUCCUCACUUGCGGUCAGGAGGACCGCGCCUUCUGCGACGGCGGCACUUCACUCUCAGCCGGUGGGUGGGGCGGGAGGAGGGAUUGGGCAGGUGGCCCCAGCUGUCCCUUUUCUUGUCUUACCUGUGGGGCAUUUGUCCGAGGGGCUUGGGAGCCCGCAGCCGCCUCCUCCGGUAGCCGUGGUUAACCUGUUGCGGGACUCACCGCAAGGCUUUACUAGGGAGGAGGUUGUUGCCUUUGGCGGGAUCCUGGACCCGGUCUCGACGGGGAGACGGAUGAGUGCUCGCAUUCAGGAGCUUCCGAAGGUUGAUGAUAUGCAGCAGCGGUGCGCUAUGAGGGCGGCCAAGCUUCACGAUGCUGUGAUCUCUUCUGGUAUGUCCGUCAACAUAUCUAAUUCUUUAUUGCAUUUUUCUAAUGAGGAGAUUAUAAAUAAUGCAAACCAAUUAGGAGUUACACUAGGUGCUACUGAUAGUGAGAUCUCCAAUUUGGUGAAUGAUAUGUUAGAUUUGGAGGCAGAGCGUGCCUUAGAGACUAUCCGUAAUCUUGCAGCGGUUAAACCCAUGAAUGAUGAGGAGAUUGAUGCGUUAGGGGUUAGAGUGCUCGAUAAUCUGUGUGCGGAUCUAGCACCUUCUAAUCAUGAGUCUGAGGACGAUGAUGUGCCCCUAGAUGUUGCCGCUGUUAGUUCCGUUGAGCCCGGUUAUGAGGACCGGGCGACAGAGCCUAGUAAGCCAAAGCGUAAGUGGAAACGGAAGAUUUAUCCCGAUUCUGUAGUUCGUAGGAGUUCUAGGAUUCGGAUUACUAAAAAAUUCCAUGACGAAAUAUGAAAGGAAUCUUUUGGAAUAGCAGAGGUCUGAAAGACUUGGCUAAAAGAAGGUUUCUUGCUGAGGCUUCUCUGGAACAUCAGUUAGAUUUUAUUGCUCUAUCGGAAACCGGUAGAGAUAAUUUUGCGCCUCAGUUUCUAUCCUCUCUUGCGGGUGGUGUUGAUUUCGAUUGGCAUUGCCUCCCUCCGUGAGGAAGAUCGGGAGGUAUCUUGCUGGGUGUGAGAUGUGAUUCCCUUGAAGUCCGGAGUGUAGUGAUGGGCGACUUCGCGGUAAAGUCUCGAGUUAGGUCUAAAGUUGAUGGUUUCAACUGGGCUUUGGUGGCGGUUUAUGGUGCCGCACAGCCCGAGCUUAAACCGGAGUUUCUGGCGGACCUUGUUCGAAUCUGUGGGUCCGAGCAGCUUCCGAUUUUGGUCGGGGGUGAUUUCAAUAUCAUUAGGAGGAGAGAGGAGAAAAAUAAUGAUAACUUUGACGGCAGGUGGUCGUUUAUGUUCAAUACCAUUAUUGAAAGCUUGGAUCUGAGGGAGAUAGAGCUUUCUGGUAGAAAGUUUACCUAGGCUAAUGCUUUGCCAAACCCGACAUACGAAAAGCUUGAUCGAGUUCUCGCGAGCGUGGAGUGGGAACAGAAGUUCCCUCUUGUCACGGUGCAAGCUCUCUCGCGGGGAAUAUCCGAUCACACACCAUUGUUCGUGGACUCAGGGGAGCCGAACCAUGUGGAAAACAAAAACACCUUCUCAUUCGAGAUGGCCUAGUUCGAACGUGAGGGGUUCUUAGACCUGAUUGCCAGGGAGGCUAAGGGUGUAGGAGGUAGGACGGCGGUCGAGCGUUAGCAGAAUAGAAUUAGGCAUUUGAGAAGUUUCCUACGGGGUUGGGCUAAGCACCUCAGUGGGGUGUAUAAGAUUGAGAAGGAUAGGCUCCUUUCUCUUAUACAGGCCCUGGACAUAAAAGCCAAAUCCGCGAUUUUGCUGCCUGCUGAGCUCGAGGUUAAAACUGAGGCGGAGAAGAGGUUGAAAGAAAUUCUCCGCGAAGAAGAGUUGAAGUGGGCUUUGCGAGCUAAGGUCCGCAAAGUGGUCCAAGGGGACGCGAAUACUCAAUUCUUUCGCCUGAUUACCAAUGGUAAGCACAGAAAGAAGCAAAUCUUUCAACUUGAACAAGAUGAGGGCACUAUUUUAGGACAGGAUAAUCUCAAAACAUAUAUUACUGAGUAUUAUAGGCAGUUAUUUGGACCUCCGGAGGAUAAUUGUGUGUCCCUCGAUGAGUCCAGGACUGAGGAUGUGCCUCAAUUGUCUGCUGCCGAUAAUGAUAUCCUGGUUGCCCCGUUCUUAGAGAAGGAGGUGUUUGAUGCUAUUGCACAAAUGAAAAACAAUAAGGCUCCCGGACCGGAUGGGUUCCCGGUCAAGUUCUAUAAAAAAGUGCUGGCACUUUAUUAAGGGGGAUUUGGUACCUAUGUUUCAUGAUCUAUUCUCUGGACAGCUUCAAUUAUUUCACUUGAAUUUUGGAACUAUCACAUUGCUCCCUAAGAAAACGGAUGCUGUGAGAAUUGAGCAGUUCAGGCCGAUCUGUCUCCUCAAUGUUAGUUUCAAAAUCUUCACCAAGGUCAGGACUAAUAGGCUCACACAGAUUGCGCAUUCUGUGGUGCAACAAUCCCAAACUGUUUUCAUGCCGGACAGAAACAUCCUUGAAGGGGUGGUUGUCCUUCAUGAAACGCUCCAUGAAAUUCACUCCAAAAAAUUAGAUGGAGUAAUUUUUAAGGUGGAUUUCGAAAAAACGUACGAUAAGGUCAAGUGGCCAUUCCUCCAACAGGCAUUGCGUAUGAAAAGUUUUGAUGACGCCUGGCGCCGACAGGUCGAAUUAUUUACGCAAACAGGGAGUGUGGGAAUUAAAGUGAAUGACGAUAUAGGUCAUUACUUCCAGACACAUAAAGGCCUCAGACAAGGAGAUCCGAUGUCCCCUAUCCUGUUUAACAUUGUGGUGGAUAUGUUAGCAAUUUUGAUAGGAAGGGCUAAGGAGAAUGGUCAAGUGGGUGGCUUGGUACCUCAUCUUGUUGAUGGAGGUGUAUCCAUCCUUCAAUACGCUGAUAAUACAAUAAUCUUUAUGGAGCAUGACUUGGCCAAGGUGAGAAAUAUGAAGCUGGUGUUAUGCCUCUUUGAACAAUUGACCGGGUUAAAGAUUAACUUUCAUAAGAGCGAGUUGUUCUGCUUUGGUAGAGCCAAAUACGAACAGGAGUCUUAUAGGCAAUUGUUUGGGUGCGAGUUGGGGAAUUUACCCUUCUCCUACCUUGGUAUUCCGAUACACCAUCAUAGGUUGACAAACAGAGAAUGGAAGUGCAUCGAGGACCGAUUUGAGAAGAAACUGAGAUGCUGGAAGGGUAAGCUCAUGUCAUACAGAGGCCCAUUAAUCUUAAUAAAUUCUGUGCUCACGAGUAUGCCUAUGUUCCUCUUAUCGUUCUUUGAGGUCCUAGUUGGUGUUAGGAAAAGACUGGACUUCUAUCGAUCGUGUUUCUUUUGGCAGGGUGAUGAACUUAAAAGAAAAUACCGGCUUGCUAAAUGGGAUAUCAUCUGUCGACCGAAAGACCAAGGGGGUCUUGGUAUUGAGAAUCUUGAAGUUAAGAACGGAUGCCUUCUUAGUAAGUGGUUGUGGAAGCUCUCAUCCGGGACUGAGGCCAUAUGAGCGUAGAUACUUCGCAGCAAGUACCUUCAGACUAAGACAUUGUCUCAGCUCACAGUCAGGCCGACUGACUCGCCUUUCUGGAAAGGACUAAUGAAAGUCAAACAAUCAAUAUUCAAUAGGACGAGGUUUGUUAUUGGAAACGGUGCUAGUACACGUUUCUGGGAGGAUACUUGGCUUGGCGACUCACCCUUGGCCAUUCAAUAUCCGUCUUUAUAUCGUAUUGCUCAACGACGUGAGGUGUUUGUUGCAACAGUAUUUCAGUUUAUCCCCCUUAAUAUUCAGUUUAGACGGUCGCUAGCGGGCAAUCGUUGGGAAGAAUGGCUCCAUCUAGUUAGGAGACUGAUGGAGGUUCAACUUUCUGACCAACCCGAUGAAUUACGCUAGAAGCUAACUAAGUCUGGAGUAUUUACAGUUAAAUCAAUGUAUAUUGAUGUCAUUAAUUCGAACUCCAUUCCAACUUCCAAGAAUGUCUGGGAUGUCAAAGUUCCUUUGAAAAUAAAAGUGUUUAUGUGGUUUGUUCAUAAACAAGUUAUUUUAACGAAGGACAACUUGAUAAAGCGUAAUUGGACAGGACCUACCAGGUGUAGUUUCUGUGAUCGGGAUGAGACGAUUAAGCACCUCUUUCUUGAUUGCCCGUUGGCCAAAGUCCUUUGGCGGAUGGUCCACAUUGCUUUUAAUAUUACUCCACGAUUUCUGUCAAUGCAUUAUUUGGGACAUGGCUUAAUGGGAUUGAGCCUGACUUAGCAAGACAUAUUCGGGUUGGAGUUUGCGCUUUGCUGUGGACUAUCUGGAAUUGCAGAAAUGAUUUGGUUUUUAACAGAACAUCACGGAUUCAUUUUUUGCAGGUUAUUUUCCGAGCUACGGCAGUGAUCCGUCUGUGGUCACUACUCACUCCGAUGGAGGCCAGGGAGCAUUUGGUUACUGGAUUUAUCGGUUGGGAGAUGGUAGCUCGGGAUAUCUUCAACCGGUUUGGAUGACGGUCAUAUAAUAGGAUAGACAAUUAGUUUACCUAUCUAUUUUUAGCCAGCCGGUUGUGGCGUCUUUUUCUGGCUAGUUUGUGUAUCUAGCCUUUUAGUCUUUGUGUGAGGUGCCUUUUCUUUUUUUCGGUUGAAGACUUUGAAACAUUGUUGGCACAUUUUGUUUUUUAAUUAAUAAGAUGGCCGUAUGCAUCACUAUGAUGCAGAGGUCGGGAAGCCCCCUUUUCCGAAAAUAUAUACCAGAGGCAUGGAUAAAACUAGGAACAAACAAGCAGACGACUGCCCGAGGAAGAGGCAGAAAUGGAGCAAACCACCGCCACGGUACGUGAAGCUGAAUAUUGACGGGUCUUACAUGGCGGACGGUGCUGCAGGAGCAGGAAUGGUGCUACGGGACGAGGUUGGCGCGCCCAUUUUCAUGGCAUGCAGGCAGCUCUUUAACUGUUCCGAUGCGGUGGAGGCGGAGCUGGCGGCAAUGGAGGAGGGAAUCCAACUAGCGCUCCAAUGGUCGCUUCUCCCAAUCCUGGUGGAGACGGACUGUGCCGAAGCUUGUGAAUUGAUCAAAUCAACAACGCCGAAUACGUCCAUCUACGCCAACAGAGUAUCUUCAAUCCGGGAGUACAUUAGAGAAAGGGAGAUUAUAGUAGGGAGAAUUAAUAGAGAGGCUAAUGGUGUUAGUCAUGAAUUAGCCAGAAUUGGUCGAACUGAACCAAAGACGGCAGUGUGGUUGGGAAACUUUCCUCCUGAUACCGAACCACUACUAGCCGCAGAUUGUAACCCUGUGAUCUCUUAAUUUUAAACUCUCUUUCCACGCAAAAAAAAAGUAACGCUAGCUAGCUACUCUAGCUACAUGCAGACAUGGCCUGGCCGUCCAAUUUUCUCCAACUGAGCAAGAAACCAGAUAGAACACAGGCUAUGAAACUACGAUGAUGGUACACUGAAACUCCAAAUUAUUUCACCGCAGGCUGUGCCGUCGCCGUGCUGCCGUGCCAUAGUUUCAGUCAUCGUCCGCAGAAGCAAACUAUACGCGUCAGAUUAGGCCGACGACGACGCAAAAAGGAUCAGCAGAUUCAGCAGCGUUGUCCACACGGCUCGCCGGUCGUGCACAUGAACUGAACUGAACUGAACUGAACCCUUCUUUUUUGGAAGAAGAACGACUUCGCCCCGCCCAACUCGAGGUCCAAAAGUGCACUCCAAGCCAGCACAAGUCAGCCUACGCUUGGAGUAACUUAAUUCACUCAGUCAACCAAUCAUGGCAUAAAUAAACAAAUAAGCUCUACUGAUUAGCUUACCUUCCACUGUUGCCAACUGCCUUCACAAACACUAUUCAGCUUCUUUUCGUUGGAAAAGGCCCCGACUCUGCAGCAGGUAGCGGCUCGUUGACCUGACUGAGUACUACUUGCCGCCGGCCAGAGUUCAGGCAAAGUUGCACUUGCACCGCAAGAAUUGGUAUAGUUGACGAGCGACCAAGGCAGAUGAUCUCCGGGCAGAAGAGAAAGCGACGGACACCAAUUGGGUACAUAGGCAUGAGCUCGACACAGAUGAAGCCUACCGUGCAACAAAUCUUCAGUUUCAUUUUGUCCUCACUGCUGGCCAUAACACUUUUACACAGUGCUACUAUUCAGGGAUUGUGCCGCACUCCAGUCGUGGCCAAUGGUGAUCUGAACAGUUACGAUUUCCAGACACUUCAGAAGGAUGUCAACACCCCAAAUAAUGCCAUUGCGCAGUGGAAAGAAACUGUCUGCGUGCUUUGCUUUGUGUUCCAAGGAACAGAGUCAACACCCCAAAUAAUACCGGUAUUUUGCUAGUACAACAUACCCAAGUCAACGUCCUCACAAAAACAGAGCAUGUACAGAAAAUAGGGGACCUGAACUUUGAUAUCGACGCAGCGUACAUCGUUGACAUCUAUCAAGCUCGGCGAGGAAGGAGUUGACCAACUUUUUUUCAAAAUGGGGGCGUGCCCCGGCCUCUGCAUCGAUUGAUGCAUACAGCCUCUUUUAUUACUUUUAGUUCAGUCUUACAUAGUCACCGAAAACAUUACAUCACAGAUCACUGAGGGUGGAGACCUGAAUAAGCCAUCUAAACAGCGAAGACAUAGUGGCAAAUAGCAAAAAAAAACUAGUGACUAAUCCUUGCACUAGAAUGCCAGCUGCACCGGGUGUAUAAAUCCGUGGCUACCAUCUCCAAGAGGUUGCACCCAGAAUCCAGCGCCUGUCGCUGCUCCAUGGGUGGUAGGCAAGACCACGUACGGGUCCAGGGGAUAGCCAUAUUGAUAACCUGCAUAAAAGAACAAUUUGUUGCAUUGUUAAAGAUAAUGUCGUUCCUAUUGUUUCAAACAGCCCAUAAUAAAGCGCAUACUCCUACGUGAAUUUGGGUUUUAUCCUCCUUCGGUAUACCGGCUAACCAGUUUCCGAAUAGGAGUUGACCAACUGAACAGACUGGGCCUUUAAAGCUUUUUGCAUGAGAACAUCUUUUAGGAUAAAGAACUGUGUUCGCAUCAGUGUGAUUGGGGAGAUCGGCUGAUGGGAUGGAUGGAAAUGCACUGGAGAAGUGGUCUUUUUGGCCGACGUCCACCGAGACCCGUCCAAAUCUGAACUCUGAGAUGGUUCCUGCCAUGGUGAUUGGCAUGAGCCGUUUGCAAGUUGCGAUGUUCGAUAAGGGCAUCUCACCCGGGCGACGCAAAUGACCUACCCAUCCGGUCCGUUUUUGUCCGGAAGGGUCGCGGGCCGGACAUAAUUUGGGUAGUUGUCCGGCCUGCCCGACCAGUGCACCCAGCGGCGCGAUCCAUCGUGUCCGCCCCUAGCCUUUUUUUAAUCUCCACUACCGUUGCCGGUGCGCCGCCGCGCCACGGCCAAAUCCGUCCGCCGCCAGACACAGAACAAGUUCAAAUAUGGUCCAAAAUACACACAAACUAACAACAUUCAUAUUUUAGCUAAAAUAAACCAAGAUCAACAUACAUAUUUUAGCGAAAAUAAACUACGACCGGGCUGGCUCACUUGGUGACCAUUUUUCUCCGGCGCCGGCGCCGGCUUUAAGAGCGCCGCCGCCAAUGGGAAAGAGGGGAAUGGAGUUCAGCAUGGCCGUCUCCAUCCCGGUAUUCGGCCAGGGUUUAGGGUUUAGGGUCUAUGGUCCGGGCAGGGACUGCCCGAACUGCAACCCAUCUCCGAGCUCCUUGGCACGGCAUGGGCGCCGCCCUCGCUGUGGCUAGGGCGCGCGGCGCCUGCGCGUCAACGUGCGCUCGGCUACCAUUGUCGCGUCGUCUUCCGCACCGCACCUGCGCCUGGCCGCCUCCCAUGACGCCGCUUGUGGCCCGCGUUGGGCAUGCGCGGCCGGUCCAGUCCCAAUCGACGUCGUUGAGGCCGUUGGCGUCGGCGUCAUCGUCCGAGGGUAGCUGCACCUCAUCUUCCGAGGAAGGCUGCUGCUCCUCCUCCGGCUCCACCAUGUCCUCCAGCGGGCUCCUCCUCCAUUCCUCACGGCGGCCAAGGAGCCGCGUCUGAACCAGGCCAUCCUCCCCACAUCGGCUCUGCUGGUGGUGGAGGUGGCGGUGGUGGUGGUGAUGGCGGUGGCGGUGGUGGUUCCAGAGGUUGCUACUGCUGCAGCUCGCGCAUCUGCUGCUGGACGACCGCAACGGGGUUGUACAUCACCCCCGACGGCACUUCCAGCCACCACAACGGCCAAGGCAACUCGCCGGGACCGGGCGACGACCUACCUCGACCGUACGGGUAAGCGUCGCGGUAGGCCUCGUGCAGCUGCUCUCAGGCACGCCAGUCACCGUUGGGGAGGCCAAGCAUGGUGGGUGGCUAUGGCUGGAUGAAGUGGGGAGGAAGAUUGGUGAGGAAGAAUGGUCGCGGGUGGCCGUUUAAAAAGGGCCGGGCAUUGGAUGCCGGCGCGACGGCCAAAGCGAUGGCGUUGAUGGAGCUUGGGCGGCAUCAACGCAGGCGGCGCGGCAUCGGGCAGAGCGCAGACGGCGCGACAUUGGUGCAGAGCGCGGCAGCGAUACAGACAUGCAUGCCACACCGUUGAUGGAAUGGAAGAGGGAAGGUCCGUGUGUCGCUGACGUGCGGGGCUGGGGGAAGGGGCAGACACUUUCGCGCGUCCGGGCGUGUCCGAGCCGACGCAUCCGCUCCCCAAAUUGGCGGAUGAGUCACGCCGGACAGGUCGGUCCGGAUGGUCGCACCGCUGGGAGGUGCACGCGCGGCCCCCGUGUCCGGCUAGACAAUGCCGAACACGCGCGGACGCAAUGGGCCGCCCCGGCGAGCAUGCCCUAAGGCAGUUGGGCUAACCAAUCAGCGUGUCACGUCAAGUAAACAAGGAACUGGCUUGCCAGAUUAGUACUACGUGAUAAUUUCUGAGGGAAAUAGGGAAUCAUAGUACUUCCACCUUUGUAAGAGCAUGUUUCACUUGGUGUGAUUUUUAAAUAUGUUUAAAACAUGCUGCAAAAAAAGGUACACAGUCAAACUUUUCUUUUCUGAAAGCCUAUAAGCUUAGGUUUCAUUGCAUUGACAGGUAUAAUCUGGGACCGCCAAGAACAGUCUCCUGCAAAUCCGAGAAAGUACAGCCCAAUUUCUAAAGUGCAAUUGCAUUUAAAAAAGGUAGUAUUACACCAAAAAGAAGUGCAGUUUAGACGGAUAUUGCAACAGGUACAACAAGGAAUAUCAAAGAAUAUCAAAAUAUCACAUUAAUUAUCGAUAUUCUGUCACGCCUGGCCACUUGGCCACCACUUGUCCAGCGUGACGUGGCAAGGAUCGGGCCCCGUCUGUAAGUGAAGCGAGUGGGUGAGAGGAGAGGAGAGGCGAGUGUUUAAAUAUGCACCAGCCGGGCUGUGGUUGGGCAUGUGAUGUGAUAGCUGUAAACCUCAUCCCCAAUCAUUCCUCUUAACACCGUUCUUCUUCCUCCCCAAGUCUCUCCCUCUCGCUCUCCCUCACCUACCGAUCCCCUUCUCUCUUCCGGUGUGUUACAGUUGGUUGCAGAUCGGUAACACCCACCGCGCCGGUGUGUGCUGCUCCGGCAAGCGCACCCGAAAUCCGUCACGGGGUUCGAUCUCCUCCAAGCAGGACGACGGCGCCCUCCAAAGCUUCGGCAGCAACGCGUCAGGUGCUGGCCGCCAUGGACGAAGGCAACAACAACAUCACCAAGAUGCUCGAGUCUCUCCUCGCCAAGAUGGACGAGCAGAAGGCGGGUCCACGACAAACAGUUCGAGAUUCAGGCCGCCUUCAAGGCGCAGAUCUCGCAGGACGUGCGCGGCCUCGCCAGACAGAUCGAUCUGACGCAGGCCGACGUCGAAGCGACUCGCAAGACGGUGGAAGGCUCGGCAUCGCCAUCGGGAUCGGUCACCACCGUGCUUCACCAGCCCGCCGCUCCGCAACAACCCCCACCACCGCCCCCGCCGCCUCCACACUCGCCGCGCGUGGCCACCGACCCGGGCCAACCGGCGACCGCCCACGCGCGUCUCGGGGAUAAUCGACCCCCGCUGAUUCCGGUGCCUCCACAGGGCGGAUUCGUGGCUCCGGCUGCCGUUCCAUCUCCAACAGCGGUGAAGGAAAUAUGCCCUAGAGGCAAUAAUAAAGUUAUUAUUUAUUUCCUUAUAUCAUGAUAAAUGUUUAUUAUUCAUGCUAGAAUUGUAUUAACCGGAAACAUAAUACUUGUGUGAAUACAUAGACAAACAAAGUUUCACUAGUAUGCCUCUACUUGACUAGCUCGUUAAUCGAAGAUGGUUAUGUUUCCUAACCAUAGACAUGAGUUGUCAUUUGAUUAAUGGGAUCACAUCAUUAGGAGAAUGAUGUGAUUGACAUGACCCAUUCCAUUAGCUUAGCACCCGAUCGUUUAGUAUGUUGCUAUUGCUUUCUUCAUGACUUAUACAUGUUCCUAUGACUAUGAGAUUAUGCAACUCCCGUUUACCGGAGGAACACUUUGUGUGCUACCAAACGUCACAACGUAACUGGGUGAUUAUAAAGGUGCUCUACAGGUGUCUCCAAAGAUACAUGUUGGGUUGGCGUAUUUCGAGAUUAUGAUUUGUCACUCCGAUUGUCGGAGAGGUAUCUCUGGGCCCUCUCGGUAAUGCACAUCACUUAAGCCUUGCAAACAAUGCAUCUAAUAAGUUAGUUGCAAGAUGAUGUAUUACAGAACGGGUAAAGAGACUUUCCGGUAACGAGAUUGAACUAGGUAUUGAGAUACCGACGAUCGAAUCUCGGGCAAGUAACAUACCGAUGACAAAGGGAACAAACGUAUGUUGUUAUGCGGUCUGACCGAUAAAGAUCUUCGUAGAAUAUGUAGGAGCCAAUAUGAGCAUCCAGGUUCCGCUAUUGAUUAUUGACCGGAGACGUGUCUCGAUCAUGUCUACAUUGUUCUCGAACCCGUAGGGUCCGCACGCUUAACGUUACGAUGACAGUUUCAUUAUGAGUUUAUAUAUUUUGAUGUACCGAAGGUUGUUCAGAGUCCCGGAUGUGAUCACGGACUUGACGAGGAGUCUCGAAAUGGUCGAGACAUAAAGAUCGAUAUAUUGGACGACUAUAUUUAGACACCGGAAAGGUUCCGGGUGAGAUUGGGACAAUACCGGAUCACUGGGAGGUUAUCGGAACCCCUCGGGAGGUAUAUGGGCCUUAUUGGGCCUUAGUGGAAAGGAGGGGAAAGGAGCAAGGGAGGGCCCCCCCCCCAAGCCCAAUCCGAAUUGGGAGGGGGGGCGACCCCCCUUUCCUUCCUCCCUCCUUCCUAUUCCUUCCCUCUCCUACUCCUAAUAGGAAAAAGGGGAGUCCUACUCCCGGUGGGAGUUGGACUCCCCCCUAGGGCGCGCCACCCUCCUUGGCCGGCCACCUCCUCCACUCCUUUAUAUAUGGGGGCAGGGGGCACCCCAUAGACACAACAAUUGAUCAUUGAUCUCUUAGCCAUGUGCGAUGCCCCCUUCCACCAUAGUCCUCGAUAAUAUUGUAGCGGUGCUUAGGCGAAGCCCUGCGACGGUAAAACAUCAAGAUCGUCACCACGCCGUCGUGCUGACGAAACUCAUCCCCGACACUUUGCUGGAUCGGAGUCCGGGGAUCGUCAUCGAGCUGAACGUGUGCUAGAACUCGGAGGUGUCGUAGUUUCGGUGCUUGAUCGGUCGAGCCGUAAAGACGUACGACUACAUCAACCGCGUUGUGCUAACGCUUCCGCUUCCGGUCUACAAGGGUACGUAGACAACACUCUCCCCUCUCGUUGCUAUGCAUCACCAUGAUCUUGCGUGUGCGUAGGAAUUUUUUUGAAAUUACUACGUUCCCCAACAAGCGGGCCACUACGGCAACGACUACCACAAGCCGUCGAAACACGACUUCUCUCAAUUCGAUGGCUCCGCGCCGUACCUGUGGCUGGAUCGCUGCCUGGCGUACUUUGAGCUCUACAAGGUCGCCCCACACAACUGGGUGGCCACCGUGGCGUUGUACAUCGAAGGCCAAGCAGCGCAUUGGCUGCAGGCAUUUCGUCAAACACAUCGUGGCAUCACCUGGGAAGUCUUCACGUCCUCCGUGCUCGAGGAGUUUGGUGCCGACGAAUUCGAGGUGGUCAUGCACAAGCUGAUCCAACUUCGCCAGACUGCCACGGUCGCCGAGUACCGCGCGACGUUCGACGAUGAAAUGUACCACCUGCUUGCGCUCGACCCGUCUAUCAGCACCAAGUUUUUCGUCACCCAGUUCAUCCUGGGCUUGAAGGACGAGUUGCGUGCCCCAAUUCGUCUGCAGGCGCCCUCGAGCAUCACCAGGGCGUCGGUGUUGACGCGCAUUCAAGAGGAAGAACUGGGCACGACGCACGCGCGCCCUCGCAUCACACCAGCGGGGCGGCCUCCUCCGGCAGCGACUCCACCACAGCCACGGACGGCCGCGCCCAACCGCGCCCCUGCGGACGACUACGCUCGCGAGAGGCAACUCCGCGACUAUUGCCGUGCCAAUAACUUGUGCUUCAAGUGCGGCGAUCACUACUCGCGUGAGCACCGGUGUGCCCAGCCCGCCCAGCUGCUCACCAUCAGCAUCGGGGAUCACGGCUAGGUGCUCUCCGACGACACCAUCCACGCACUGCAACUGCUCGACGACCCCGGACCAAUCACGCAGCAGCCCGCUCCGGCUGGGGACGCUCCCGAGUGCUGCCUCCUCUCGUCGAACGCUCUGGACGACACGGACUCGGCGACCACAAUCCGCCUGCGCGCACUGGUGGGCAACCAAGUCAUGCUGCUUCUCGAUUCGGGCAGCUCACAUAGCUUCGUCAACAAGUCCUUCAUCGAUCGCCUCGGGCUGGCGACAGAGGAAAUGUGAAAGAUCGUGGAUGUCGCCUAGAGGGGGGGUGAAUAGGCGCUUUAAAAUAAUUACGAUUGAGGCUUGAACAAAUGCGGAAUAAACCUAGCGGUUAAUUUGUCAAGCACAAAACCUACAACAACUAGGCUCAUCUAUGUGCACCAACAACUUAUGCUAAGCAAGAUAAACUACUAGGUGAUAGCAAGAUAUAUGACAAGAAACAAUAUGGCUAUCACAAAGUAAAGUGCAUAAGUAAAGAGCUCGGGUAAGAGAUAACUGAGGCACGCGGAGACGACGACGUAUCCCGAAGUUCACACCCUUGCGGAUGCUAAUCUCCGUUUGGAGCGGUGUGGAGGCACAAUACUCCCCAAGAAGCCACUAGGGCCACCGUAAUCUCCUCACGCCCUCGCACAAUGCAAGAUGUCGUGAUUCCACUAAGGGACCCUUGAGGGCGGUCACCGAACCCGUAAAAAUGGCAACCCUUGGGGGCGGUCACCGAACACGUACACUUUGGCAACCCUUGGGGGCGGUCACCGGAACCCGUCAAAUUGCUCGGGGCAAUCUCCACAACCUAAUUGGAGACCCCGACGCUUGCCCGGAGCUUUACACCACAAUGAUUGAGCUCCGAACACCACAAAGGUUGGGGUUAACUCCCCAAUGACACCGCGAAGCUUCACCACAAUGGAAUAUGGCUCCGAGGUGACCUCAACCGUCUAGGGUGCCCAAGCACCCAAGAGGAACAAGCUCAAGGCUAACAAGCACCCAAGAGUAAUAAGCUUCUCAACUUGUAACUUCCACGUAUCACCGUGGAGAACUCAAACCGAUGCACCAAAUGCAAUGGCAAGGGCACACGGAGUGCCCAAGUCUUUCUCUCUCAAAUCCCACCGAAGCAACUAAUGCUAGGGAGGAGAAUGAGAGAAAGAAAAAGAAGGAGAACACCAAGAACUCCAAGAUCUAGAUCCAAGGGGUUCCCCUCAUUUAGAGGAGAAAGUGAUUGGUGGAAACGUGGAUCUAGAUCUCCUCUCUCUUUUCCCUCAAGAACUAGCAAGAAUCAUGGAGGGAUUGAGAGUUAGCAAGCUCGAAGAAGGUCAACAAUGGGGGAAGAACACGAGCUCAAAGGAUAAUGUUCAUUGGGGAAGAAGGCCCCCUUUUAUAGGUGGGGAAAAAUCCAACCGUUAUGCUCACAGCCCGCACAGAGCGUUACUACCGCUCCAAGGAGCGGUACUACCGCUAGGGUGGUAGUACCCCUUUGAAAAACAACAUCGAGGAGGCAAAAGGCCAGUAGAACCGCCGGAGCGGUACUACCGCUUGUCCUCACGGUAGUAAAAAAUUACAUCCGCUCCAAAUCGCGGUAGUACCGCUCCAGCCUUUUCAGAACACCAAAACUGCCGCAACUUUUGCAAACGGACUCCGAUUUCGAUGAAACCAAGUUUGUUGGAAAUCUAGCGACAAGGGCUAACACAAUCUUGAAAUAAAUAUCAAUAAGAAGCAAAUUAUAAAAGGCCCAUAAGAAAAUGGUGAGAACCCUUCCUCAGAUAAGACCGAUAAAACCUCCAACACCGAAAACAUCAUAGAAGACGCACGCGAACUCCGUUUUCGAUGAACUCAAGCUUGUCAUCAAGAUGACCAUAAGCUCUAAGACUCACAAAGAGAACCAAACAAUAACCAAGAAACAUGAUGCAAGGAUGCAAUGGUUUGAGAUCUCGAUGAACGAUACGGUCAAGCUACUCACUUGAGAGCCCUCCUUGAUAGUACGGCUAUCGAUCCUAUAACCCGGUCUCCCAACUACCACCAUGAGACCGGUAAAAUAGAAAACCUAUCAAGGGUAAACCUUUGCCUUGCACAUGAUCCACUUGAGCUAGAUGAUGACGAUCUUGUCCUCCUCAAGAUGGACCACCUUUCUUGAUUGCGUUGGGUCGAUGGAGACUAGAUGAUUGCUCCCCCAUACUCCACUAUGGGUGAGCCACACUUCGGCACAUCUUCACAAGUCCAUUGACACCACAAUGGAUGGCAAGCUUCAAGCACUUGAUCUCUUCGUGAUUCUCCACUUGAACUUGCACACGGCAAUCUUGAUGACGAUCACCACUUGAUGUCAUCCUUCCCAUGGGUUGUAUGAUAUCAUCCUCUUGACGCAAGCCCAUGGACACGUACCUAACCCCAUAUGGACUCUCACAUAGACCAUGGGUUAGCACACAAAGUGCAAUGGACAAUGCUUACCAUACCAUGGGAUCACUUGAUCCCUCUCGGUACAUCUUCUACUCUUUGUGAGUUGAUCAACUUGAUUCACUCUUGACUUAGUCUUGAUCAACCUUGAAUCUUUCCAACUCUCUUCGUUUGGAUGAUGUCUUGAAGGUAAACAUGAAUGAUCACACAAUCUUCUUCUUCAAGACAUGCUUGCAAUAAGCUCAACACUCACAUGACCAAUCUUUGGAUAAUUCCUUAAUAGCACCUUGGUUAACCCAUAACCUCCUUGAAACCAACACAUGGACUUCAAGAAAUGCCUAUGGAAAAAUCCUUCAAAUAUGACUCAAUGCAACCAUUAGUCCAUAGAGAAUGUCAUCAAUUACCAAAACCACACAUGGGGGCACCGCAUGUCCUUUCAAUCUCCCCCAUUUUGGUAAUUGAUGACAAUCACUUUCAAGAGAGUUUAUAUAAGGAAUUAUGCAUCACCAUGCAAUGCAACAACCAAUAAUGCAUGCGUAGGAGAUGCGUAUGCUUCGGAACAAACCAAAGCCAGAAGAGACAACUCUCUAAACUUCUCCACAAAACUCUCAACUCUCUAAACUUCUCCACAAAACUCUCUGAAACUUCUCCCCCAUUGGCAUCGAUUGCCAAAAUGGGUUAAAAGCUUAGAAGGCCAAUAUAAAAUGUGUUCCUCCAUAAAUUGUGUAUUUCUCAACAAGAGAGUGGAAUGCAAUACACAUAUCCAACGGUAAAUACUUGGAGGAAGACAAACUAUAUUAAGGCCCAAAGAUUGCAAAAGGAAGAUAUGCCACAAAGUCAUAAUCAAAGAGAGAAACAAGCAAUCAAGCAAUCAAAAUAUACCAAUUGAAUCAAGCUAUCAAAAGAUACCAAUUGAACCAACUAGGCCAAUGCUCCUACGAGCUACAUGAAUAAAGGAUAUUAUGAUAAGAGCAGAGCAGUGUUCUAAAGAAACUAGAGAAGCUCCCCAUGAUUUGUGCACAUCAAGAAUUUUUGUAUUUGAAUACAAAGUGCACAAAAUAGGAUCAUAGCUCCCCCAAAAUCAAUAGAAACUUACAACAAGUGCAAGAGAGCAUAUAGGAAACUAAGCCUAGUACUUGCAACAAACACAUGGUUGAGCAACAAGUAAGAGAGGCAACUUAAGAGUGGGAUCAACCCAAAAGAUGUGUGUGAGUCAAGGCAAUGCACUUGAGAAGACUAAUGUACAGAAGAGCAUUAAGCAUCAAUAAAGUCUUCAAAGAAUGAGGCACACAGUGCAAGGCCUAUCAUUCCCACACACAACUAGCAAAUGGGUUCACAAGCUUACCAAUAAGCAUAUAGAGAACCUAUUCUUGUGACAACCCGCGGUGAAGAUAGAAGAUGAAAGGCGCAUCAAGACGAGGGAUGCCAAUUAAGAUGGCAAAAACCUCAUAAAGAUAAGCAUGAGGAAAAUAAUCUUCACCACACAAGAGCGCAUCAAGAUGCAACGAUAGAAGGCACGCACUCAAGGCAAAAGCUUUCACGGAGCCACCAAAGAAAUAACAUAAGAAAGACAAGGUGGACGUGAAAGAAAGGAUAUCAUCUAGAUAUGCAACUUCUCUCAAGUGUAUAAGAUUCUAGGUAGACGAAAUCAUGAUGAUGAUNNNNNNNNNNNNNNNNNNNNNNNNNNNNNNNNNNNNNNNNNGCAUCAAGACGAGGGAUGCCAAUUAAGAUGGCAAAAACCUCGUAAAGAUAAGCAUGAGGAAAAUAAUCUUCACCACACAAGAGCGCAUCAAGAUGCAACGAUAGAAGACACGCACUCAAGGCAAAAGCUUUCACGGAGCCACCAAAGAAAUAACAUAAGAAAGACAAGGUGGACGUGAAAGAAAGGAUAUCAUCUAGAUAUGCAACUUCUCUCAAGUGUAUAAGAUUCUAGGUAGACAAAAUCAUGAUAUAUAUAUAUAUAUAUAUAUAUAUAUAUAUAUAUAUAUAUAUCUACAAAGAAGGAUGUACACCCGAAAUAGCUACAACACGAAGGAACAAGAUAUCCAAAAGGAAGUCAUACAUAUACCAAUAAGAUAUUUGCUUGAGAGCAUAGCACAUGGCUAGAUAUGGUCUUAUUGUAUAUAAAUGAAUUCCAACCACACGAACAUCAAAGACAUCACAACUAGCAACAAGACAUCAUUGUUGGGAUGCUUUGAGAAAGGAAACAAGUAUCACAAGAAAGAAUGGAUAACAUGCCAUGAAACAACCUACACAAGGUUGAUGCAAGAAAUGCGUGCAUGAAGUAUAUGAAGAUACUUGUUACCGAGAUAACAUUGGAAGGAUGUAGUAGAUACCAAUUGAAGAUACAAAGUAUUUCAUUGAUCAUCCUAGCUUGACUCCAUUAAGCACAUGGUGACAACACCUUCCUUGUGAGUGAGCCGAGCAUCCAAUGCAUCUCCACUUGUUCCUAGAACAACAACACAAACAAAAUGGUACCCAAACUCAUUGGGACCAAAGAGUUAGAGAACCAACAACACAUAGGACAAACUCCACAUAAAUAUGUGCAUAUAGAUAUGAAAAUGAAUUUCAUGCACAUCUCAUCCAAUUUGAGACUUGGUGGAGUUCCCCCUAUAUAUUGGGUCAAAGAAAGAAAACAUGCCAAAGAAACUACAAGAAGUAAAUAUGCAUGCUCAAGACUUUCAAGAACCGAGACCAAAAGACAAAGAAAUAACAAGCGAAGAAAAGAUACCAAAUGAAUAAAUCAUCACUUGGAGGAUAUCCAUAAAAGAUACAUCAAGGAAUGAGAUAUCCAUUGAUACACUCAAAAAGAAAUAUGUCAAACUCCCAAAAGAGAGAAUGGUUCCAAACAAACCAAGCCCUCUACAAAGUUUCAUGAUGGCACAAAGCACCAAAAAGAAACGGCUUGCCUUCCACAAACACACACUUGAUAAGGAUCACAAGAUGAGUGUUUUAUAGAGAAUAGAAUAGUUCCCCCAAGACUAGUGCAUUAUAGAGAAUUUGCAUUUGAAUACAAAAUGCACGAGGUGGGAUCACCACUUUCACUACAUCUAGAAAACACUAGACAAGGUCAAGAAAUUAACAACAUCCACAAGUGGUAUGGAAUACAAUGGGAGUUGACACAAUCCUAGGCAAGAGAUAAAGCAAAUAAAAGCAAAGGCCAAUGUAAAGAUGAUCAAUAAUUUCUACCACACAUAAAAGAGUACCAAUUGUCAAAAGACAAGAAGUAUUUGGAAAUAAUUCCCGGUGGUAGAUAACAAGGAUAUCCGACAUCAUCUUCACACCAAACAAAAAGAAAAUUGCAACUUGUAGAGCUAACAUGCCACCUAGGAACAAGAUAAUUUACAAUAUCAACACUAGGUGACAAUAUCUCAAAUGUACACAUUUUCUAGGCUAGUAAUAUACACAUAGCAUAUUACUCCCCCAUAAUGUGAUACCAAUUAAGGAUAAACAAGAGGCAAAUAAAAGGAUCCAACAAGAGAUAAUUAAUGGACUAUUUAGAAUUUGAAUUUCUCAUGAGAAGACAUACCACAUAGUGACUAGAUAAUCUUCAAAUAUCAAUACUAGAUGGUAUUACUCAUGUACACACAUUUAUAGGAUUGUGAGGUGCACAAAGCACAUCACUCCCCCGUAAUGGGAUAUUCCAUUAAUCUCUCGCAAGAGCCAACUAAGAAAUAAACAAGAUGCAAAAAGGCUCAACACACAACACACACGUACGUGAUGUGCAAACCAACAUACACAUACUUGAUUUCUCAAGAUAAGCAAAUUGGAAGCACAACAUAUACAAGCACAUGCAAGGUACAAAACCACAACAUGCUAAGGGGCAAGUAACUUUCAAGUAAACAAUUUAAGCACGAGUUACCGCAAGGAGGAACAUUGGAUAUAAGAUAGAAACUAGAUAACCCGAAUGACUUGGCUUGAGACAAUAAGAAUGAUGAAGUCCCCUUAAUUCUUCAUAAUUUAUACAAGUCUCCAAAGACCUCCAAUAUCACCUAUUGAUCAAGUUUGAGCUUGUUGGUCCCCAACCAAGUUGGGUCCUAAGAGGUUAGUCACAAUAGGCUUGGCUACCCAAAUGGUUCUUUUCUUGACACCACUUUGAGCACCAACAAAUGUGGCAAACACAUUGCCAACAUUAUCCUUCCCAAGAGAAUAGAUAUCAUCAAUAAUAAUUGGGUCGGAUAAGUUACCACUAGUGCAUGAAGAGGCAAGGUGACCUUUAUCGCGACAUAGGUAGCAACGUCUACUCUUCACUUUCUUCUCACCUGAUUUCUCAACUUGAGAAGCAUAAGCUUGAGUCUUCUUGGGAAGAGGCUUUCCUUCAACUUGAGAUUGAGCAUGAGAAUGAACUUGUGGCCGCUUCCCUUGUUGCUUGUCACUAAUGGGUUUCUUCUUCAAUGGGCAAGAUCUAACAUGAUGCCCUUCAAUUUUGCACUUGAAGCAAGUAAUCUUGGCUGAAUUCUUGACUUGUUCUUGGCCCUUCUUCUUGAUCAUCUUGGACCUCUUCUUCUUAUUGGAUUUGAAUCCAAGUCCACCUUUGUCAUUGGGGGAUUUUUGCACACUCAAGAUAUUGUUGAGUGUGGAUUUCCCUUCAUGACUAUUUUCCAAGUCUUUCUUUAAAGAAGUGACUUGGGCCUUGAGCUCUUUGAUUUCCUCUACAUGGUUAGUCUCAACACAAGUACUAGAGGAAGUAUAAGCUUCAUCGUUAGAGCAACAAGGCAAGUAAAGCAAUUCAUCACAAGAUGUACCAACAUUGUGACUAGAAGAAUUACAAGGACUAGCACAUGGCAAUAUAGCAUUUUGACUAGAAGUAGUGCUAGUAUCCACAUGAGGCUCACUAGAUGUUACCUUAGAAAUCAUGGCCUCAUGAGCUAUCUUUAGCUCAUUAUGGGAUACUAGAAGAUCAUCAUGAGAGCUUGAGAGCUUUUCUUGGUUUUCUUCCAAUUUCCCAUAAUUGCUAGAUAGCAAUUCAAGUUGAGCCCGAAGCUCAACAUUCUCCUUCAAAAUGGAUGCUUCACAACUAAUAGAGUUAGUAUCCCAAGCAUCUUCAUUAACAACAAUAGGAGAGGACACCUUGGCAAGCUCUUUUAAGUAAGAAGCUUCAAGUUGAGCAUGAGACUCGGUGAGUUCGAUGAGCUCACCCUUGAUGACCCUUGAGCCAUUUUCAAGGUGCUCAAAAUCCUCAAGGAGUCUAGCAUGAGCAACUUCAAGCUUAGCAUUUUUAGUUUUGAAAUCAUUGGCCACCUCGAGUGCUCUAUCACGAGAUUCCUUUAUUCUAGAUAAUUCUAGAGCAAAGGUCUCCUCAAGAGAUUCUGAUGUGGUUUGUUCAUGUUCAAGAGCUUGAGAUAGCUCCGCGAUCUCAUUUGCGUAAUCACGCUCAUGAGCUUCCAUUUUCUCAAUGGUGACCUCAUGCUCCUCUAGAUGAGAUUCCAACUCCUCAAUGUAUUUCUUGCCUUCAAUGGCAAUAGACAUGAUUUCCAUGAAGUUGGAACAAGCAAGUUUAUUUUUGUGAAGAGCUUUAAAAAUCAUUUCCCCCUUAGUUUUUAAGGAGGCAACAUUAUCAUUCUCUUCAUCAUAAUCAACAUCAUCAUCACUCUUGCCAUCAUCACAAGAUAUAUUGGGAUUCAAAGUGGGAGAUACCUUUGAAGCCUUGGCCAUAAGGCAAAAUGCAAUAGAUGAUGAUGUAGGAUCCGUUGAACCACCAUUCAAGACCACAUCUUGUUCCAUGGGGUGUUGGGUUUCCUCUACAUUGUUAGCACAACAAUUCGAGGACAUAUAUGCAUUUUUAUCAUGGCAACAAGACAUAGUAAACAUAUCAUCAUGAGAUUUAGUCAAGCAAUUUCUACAUGAUAUGCAAGGACUAUCAACACAAGCAUGUGAAACAUUUGGAGUGCUCGAAGUGUUAAAGCCCAAAGAAGGAGCAUUGCAAUAAGAUAGUGAUGAAGGAUCAUCCACAAUAAACACACUAUCAUCAUUGCAAUGACCAACACUACUCACCAUAUCAUUACCAUGUGGCAAACCACAUGUAGGUGAAGUAGAAGAAGUUGAGAAGACUAUACGGCCGGAUGUGGAGGGAGAACCACUAGUAGAAAAGGGGGCUUUGGUCCAGGCUGGGUAAGCCCAUUAGUCUCGGUUCAGUCCAGAACCGGGACCAAUGGGUGCAUUUAUCCCGGUUCGUGCGACUAAGGCAUUAGUCCCGGUUCACCUGGGCCCUUUAGUCCCGGUUCAUGCCACGAAUGGGCUUUGAGGCAUUAGUACCGGUUCAUGGCACGAACCGGUACUAAAGGUCNNNNNNNNNNNNNNNNNNNNNNNNNNNNNNNNNNNNNNNNNNNNNNNNNNNNNNNNNNNNNNNNNNNNNNNNNNNNNNNNNNNNNNNNNNNNNNNNNNNNNNNNNNNNNNNNNNNNNNNNNNNNNNNNNNNNNNNNNNNNNNNNNNNNNNNNNNNNNNNNNNNNNNNNNNNNNNNNNNNNNNNNNNNNNNNNNNNNNNNNNNNNNNNNNNNNNNNNNNNNNNNNNNNNNNNNNNNNNNNNNNNNNNNNNNNNNNNNNNNNNNNNNNNNNNNNNNNNNNNNNNNNNNNNNNNNAAACAAAAGAAAAUGAUGGAAAUUUCAAUAAAAUAAAAUAAAAUAAGUUUCCCAUGUGAUAUGUGGUCUAGUUGUUGGGAAAAUUUACAAAUAUGAAUUUCGACUUUAUUUACAAAAUCUCUCUAGAAUUUGUAAAAUGGGCAUAACUUUUGCAUACGAACUCGGAUUAAAAAGUUUUUUAUAUGAAAAAUCAUCUACUCAAAAAGUUACAUCCGAUGGAGACUGCCUAUGGCCUGUUUGCAAAUUCGUAGAAUCCUCAAAUUCCAAAAGGGAAAAAAGUUAUGCUCAAAUUUCAGUUUUUUUAAAUUUUCAUUAAAUCUGGUCAAACUAUGGUCAAACUACUUAUUCAAGAAGUAUUAGUGUUACUAAAUAAUUAUUCAAGAAUAUUAGUGUUAUUAAAUAAUUAUUUCAGUUUUUUUGAAUUUUGGUCAAAUCUGGUCAAAUUAUGGUCAAACUGUGGUCUAACAAUGGUCAAACUACUUAUUCAAGAAAUAUUAGUGUUACUAAAAAAUUAUUGUUUUUUAGAACAAUAGUUUCAAACUCAAACAGUGAAAUGUGUGACUUCAUGCUCAAGCUAAACUCCUGAGGGUUAAUAGGAUUGACACCUUACUAUUGUCAGGAAAACAACGAGUGCAGACUUGGAAACGAGGGAGAAUAGAACCCGAAAGUUAGGCGUGCUCAGGCUGGGGGAGUGGGAGGAUGGGUGACCAUCCGGGAAGUUAGAUGAUUUAGAAUGAUGAGGGGUGAUUAGAGAUUAAAUUGAGCAGUGAUGCGGGGUGAUUAGAGAUUAAAGGUUAAAAUAAUUCAGAAAUUUGAAAAUAAAAAAAUUCAAAAAAAUUCAAAAAAAAUCAAAAAAAAGCAGAAAAUGUCCUUUAGUACCGGUUGGUGUUACCAACCGGGACUAAAGGUGGACUGACCACGUCGAGGGCCUUUAGUCCCGGUUCUGGUUUGAACCGGGACUAAAGGGUCAGGGCAUUAGUAACGACCCUUUAGUCCCAGUUCAAGAACCGGGACUAAAGGCCCUUAUGAACCGGGACUAAAGGCCCUUUUUCUACUAGUGAACAAUCAUCCCCACAAAACUUGGACACGCCAUAUUUAUCUUGAAGCUUUGUCCACAACUCAUGAGCAUCCCGGAAUGGCAUGAGUUGAAAUAUAACUACAUUGCUCAAAGCAUCGAAAAGCACAUUAGAAGCUUGAGCAUUGAGAUAAGAGUUUUUCUCAUCCUCUAAAGAUAAUGUUUGGGGAUCCUUUGGAGGAGAAAACCCAUAUCUACAAUUCGCUCUAAAUUUGGGUCCAUGACCCUAAAGAGAUUAAGCAUGCGAAUUACCCAAACAUCAAAAUUUGUGCCAUCAAAACUAAGAGUGUCAGAGAAUCCUAAACCCCUAGUCGACAUCCUUACUCUCUAGGCUGUUAAGCCCUAUAAAGAGAGAUGAGGCUCUGAUACCAAUUGAAAGAUCGUGGAUGUCGCCUAGAGGGGGGCUGAAUAGGCGCUUUAAAAUAAUUACGGUUGAGGCUUGAACAAAUGCGGAAUAAACCUAGCGGUUAAUUUGUUAAGCACAAAACCUACAACAACUAGGCUCACCUAUGUGCACCAACAACUUAUGCUAAGCAAGAUAAACUACUAGGUGAUAGCAAGAUAUAUGACAAGAAACAAUAUGGCUAUCACAAAGUAAAGUGCAUAAGUAAAGAGCUCGGGUAAGAGAUAACUGAGGCACGCGGAGACGACGAUGUAUCCCGAAGUUCACACCCUUGCGGAUGCUAAUCUCCGUUUGGAGCGGUGUGGAGGCACAAUGCUCCCCAAGAAGCCACUAGGGGCAUCGUAAUCUCCUCACGCCCUCGCACAAUGCAAGAUGUCGUGAUUCCACUAAGGGACCCUUGAGGGCGGUCACCGAACCCGUACAAAUGGCAACCCUUGGGGGCGGUCACCGAACCCGUACACUUUGGCAACCCUUGGGGGCGGUCGCCGGAACCAGUCAAAUUGCUCUGGGCGAUCUCCACAACCUAAUUGGAGACCCCGACGCUUGCCCGGAGCUUUACACCACAAUGAUUGAGCUCCGAACACCACAAAGGUUGGGGUUAACUCCCCAAUGACACCAUGAAGCUUCACCACAAUGGAAUAUGGCUCCGAGAUGACCUCAACCAUCUAGGGCGCCCAAGCACCCAAGAGGAACAAGCUCAAGGGUACCAAGCACCCAAGAGUAAUAUCUUCUCAACUUGUAACUUCCACGUAUCACCGUGGAGAACUCAAACGAUGCACCAAAUGCAAGGCAAGGGCACACGGAGUGCCCAAGUCCUUCUCUCUCAAAUCCCACCGAAGCAACUAAUGCUAGGGAGGAAAAUGAGAGGAAGAAAAAGAAGGAGAACACCAAGAACUCCAAGAUCCAGAUCCAAGGGGUUCCCCUCACUUAGAGGAGAAAGUGAUUGGUGGAAACGUGGAUCUAGAUCUCCUCUCUCUUUUCCCUCAAGAACUAGCAAGAAUCAUUGGAGGGAUUGAGAGUUAGCAAGCUCGAAGAAGGUCAACAAUGGGGGAAGAACAUGAGCUCAAAGGAUAAGGUUCAUUGGGGAAUAAGACCCCCUUUUAUAGGUGGGGGAAAAUCCAACCGUUAUGCUCACAGCCCGCACAGAGCGUUACUACUGCUCCAAGGAGCGGUACUACCGCUAGGGCGGUAGUACCCCUUUGAAAAACAAUAGCGAGGAGGCAAAAGGCCAGUAGAACCACCGGAGCGGUACUACCGCUCGUCCUCACGGUACUACCGCUAGGGAUCGUGGUACUACCGCAAAGGGUAGCGGUACUACUGCUAGCGAGCGGUACUAAAAAAAUACAUCCGGGCCUACCACCGCAGGACUUGGGACGAGUUUUUGGUCCGGAGCGGUACUACCGCUGUAGGAGCCGUGGUAGUACCGCUCUGGAGCGGUAGUAAAAAAUUACAUCCGCUCCAAAUCGCGAUAGUACCGCUGCAGCCUUUUUAGAACACCAAAACUGCCACAACUUUUGCAAACGGACUCCGAAUUUGAUGAAACCAAGUUUGUUGGAAAGCUAGCGACAAGGGCUAACACAAUCUGAAAGAAAUAUCAAUAAGUAGCAAAUUAGAAAAGGCCCAUAAGAAAAUGGUGAGAACCCUUCCUCGGAUAAGACCGGUAAAACCUCCAACACCGAAAACAUCAUAGAAGACGCAUGCGAACUCCGUUUUCGAUGAACUCAAGCUUGUCAUCAAGAUGACCAUAAGCUCUAAGACUCACAAAGAGAACCACACAAUAACCAAGAAACAUGAUGCAAGGAUGCAAUGGUUUGAGAUCUCGAUGAACGAUACGAUCAAGCUACUCACUUGAGAGCCCCCCUUGAUAGUACGGCUAUCGAUCCUAUAACCCGGUCUCCCAACUACCACCAUGAGACCGGUAAAAUAGAAAACCUAUCAAGGGAAAACCUUUGCCUUGCACAUGAUCCACUUGAGCUAGAUGAUGACGAUCUUGUCCUCCUCAAGAUGGACCACCUUUCUUGAUUGCGUUGGGUCGAUGGAGACUAGAUGAUUGCUCCCCCAUACUCCACUAUGGGUGAGCCACUCUUCGGCACAUCUUCACAAGUUCAUUGACACCACAAUGGAUGGCAAGCUUCAAGCACUUGAUCUCUUCGUGAUUCUCCACUUGAACUUGCACACGGCAAUCUUGAUGACGAUCACCACUUGAUGUCAUCCUUCCCAUGGGUUGUAUGAUAUCAUCCUCUUGACGCAAGCCCAUGGACACAUACCUAACCCCAUAUGGACUCUCACAUAGACCAUGGGUUAGCACACAAAGUGCAAUGGACAAUGCUUAACAUACCAUGGGAUCACUUGAUCCCUCUCAAUACAUCUUCUACUCUUUGUGAGUUGAUCAACUUGAUUCACUCUUGACUUAGUCUUGAUCAACCUUGAAUCUUUCCAACUCUCUUCGUUUGGAUGAUGUCUUGAAGGUAAACAUGAAUGAUCACACAAUCUUCUUCUUCAAGACAUGCUUGCAAUAAGCUCAACACUCACAUAACCAAUCUUUGGAUAAUUCCUUAAUAGCACCUUGGUCAACCCAUAAACUCCUUGAAACCAACACAUGGACUUCAAGAAAUGCCUAUGGAAAAAUCCUUCAAAUAUGACUCAAUGCAACCAUUAGUCCAUAGAGAAUGUCAUCAAUUACCAAAACCACACAUGAGGGCACCGCAUGUCCUUUCAAAAUGCCGCGGGUGGAUGUGUGCGUCGCCAAUGGUGACCGCCUCUCCUGCAACCGCAUCGUUCCCGAGCUCAAGUGGUCGAUGCAGGGGCAUACGCUCGCCACUCCGAUGCGCGAACUGGACAUUGGCACCUACGACGGCAUCCUCGGCAUGGACUGGCUCGCGCAGCACAACCCCAUGACGUGCCACUGGCAGGACAAAUGGGUCAAGUUCACCCACGACGACGAAGAGGUCACGCUCCGAGGCGUGCCCACGAAGGCGACCACCACCCUCAAGGCGAUCAAACCCGAUGAGCUGCGCAAAAUGAUCGCGGGCAACGAUGUGUGGGCUAUGGCCAUGGUGGACACUUGCGGUCACGCACCACCGCCGCGGUGUAAGUGCGCCAGCCAGACGGCGCUCGCUGAUCUUCUGGAGGAGUUCGCCGAUGUGUUCGCGGCACCGCAAGGGCUUCCUCCACACCGUCAGUAUGACCACGCGGUCACCCUGGUCGAGGGCGCGGUCCCCGCGAACACGCGCUCGUACCGCUACUCACCACUCCAGAAGGACGAGAUCGAGCGCCAGGUCAAGGAAAUGCUUGACGCUGGCCUGAUCACGCAUAGUGUGAGCCCGUAUGCCGCGCCGGUGCUGCUAGUCAAGAAGAAGGACGACACCUGGCGGUUCUGCGUCGACUAUCGCCGCCUAAACGACGCAACCAUCAAAAACAAGUUUCCUCUGCCCAUCAUCGAUGAGUUGCUCGAUGAGUUAGCUGGUGCUGCAGUCUUCUCCAAACUCGAACUGUGCGCCGGCUACCAUUAGAUCAGGAUGUGCGAGGAGGACGAGCACAAGACAGCGUUCAAGACGCACCACGGGCAUUUUCAGUUCAGGGUCAUGCCGUUCGGCCUCACAAACGCGCCGUCCACGUUUCAGUGCCUGAUGAACGCCAUUUUUGGUAAGUACAUGCGCAAGUUCGUGAUCAUCUUUCUGGAUGACAUUCUCGUUUUCAGUGAGACCAUGGAGGAGCACCUGGAACACCUGCGCAUCGUCUUUGAGCUCCUUCGAGCACACCAGCUCUACAUCAAGGAGUCCAAGUGCAUGUUCGCUGCCGAUCACAUCGACUACCUGGGCCACGUGAUCUCCAAGGAGGGCGUGGCCACAGACAAGGAGAAAACGAGCGCGAUGGAACAGUGGCCGACGCCGACCAAUGCAACCGAGCUGCGCGGCUUUCUUGGCCUCACCGGCUACUACAGAAAGUUUGUGCUGCACUACGGCAUCAUCGCCAAGCCACUGACACAGCUGCUCACCAAGAAAGGCUUCGCCUGGAUGGAGCAAGCUCAAGCGGCCUUUGAUCAGCUCAAGACGGUGAUGAUCACCACGCCAGUGCUCGCGCUCCCGGACUUCGACAAGCCGUUCUCGAUCGAGACAGAUGCGUGCGACAUAGGGGUGGGCGCAGUGCUCGUCCAAGAAGGCCACCCGGUCGCCUACUACAGCAAAGCCCUGGGAGUGUGCAACCAGCAACUGUCAACGUACGAGAAGGAAUUUCUGGCGGUGAUGAUGGUCGUCGACAAAUGGCACCCGUACUUGCAGCGUGGCCCCUUCGACAUCCGCACAGACCACAAGUCCCUCUGCAACCUAGGCGAAUAGCAUCUGGAGACCGAGCUGUAACGCAAGGCCAUGGCGAAACUGGUGGGACUCCAGUUCAGGUUUCAGUACAAGCGCGGACUGGACAACGGAGCGGCUGAUGCCUUGUCGCGUGUCGGCAAGCAGCUCGACCUAGCCGCACUCUCGACGUGUCAGCCGGCCUGGCGCCAGGAAGUGCUCAACUCCUACUCCACGGACCCCGACGCGCAAGAGCGACUGCAGAAGUUAGCCAUCACCAGUCCGGACGACGACGGCUACGAGCUACACCAAGGCGUGAUUCGCCGCGGCGGCCGGCUUUGGAUUGGUGCCAAUGCCACGCUCCACACCAAGCGCAUCGCCGCGCUCCACAACAGCGCGGGCGGCGGCCAUUCGGGGGCGACAGCAACGUACCGGCGGGUGCAUAAGCAUUUUGAGUGGCGCGGCCUCAAGCAGGACAUGGAGGAACUCGUGCAGCAAUGCACCACCUGCCAGCAAGCCAAGCACGAGCUCUCCAAGCCAGCAGGGCUGCUGGCACCUCUGCCUGUCCCAACGGCGCCCUGGAGGGAUCUCACGAUGGAUUUCAUCGAAGGGCUGCCGCCAUCAGAGGGCUUCGACACGAUCAUGGUGGUGGUCGACCGCUUCACCAAGUUUGCCCACUUCAUCCCAUUGCGCCAUCCCUUCCACGCGUCGCAGGUGGCGCGAGCGUUCUGGGACAAUGUGGUCAAGCUCCACGGCGUGCCAGCGUCCAUCGUCUCCGACCGCGACAAAGUGUUCACCAGCAAUCUGUGGCGGGAGCUGCUCGCGGGCGCUAGCACAAAGCUGCUCUACUCCACCGCCUACCACCCGCAAACCGAUGGGCAGAGCGAGCGCGUGAACCAGUGCAUGGAGAUGUAUCUCCGGUGCGCCGUGCACAACACUCCCGGCAAGUGGCGUCGCUGGCUGCCUAUGGCGGAGUUCUGGUACAACUCCACCUUCCACUCUUCGCUCGGCCGCACCCCGUUCAAGGCGCUGUACGGCAUGGAGGCCAACUUGGGAGCAACCACGGCAUGGCCGGGCGACACCACGGCCAGCGAAGAUAUGUACUGGGCGGCGCACACGGCGCACAUCCGCGCGCAACUCGAGCGCGCCCAGCGCCGUUUCAAGAAGCAGGCCGACCGCAACCGCACCGAGCGCCAGUUUCAAGUGGGUGAGCAGGUCCUCUUGAAGCUGCAACCGUAUGUGCAGCAGUCCGUCGUCAGUCGUCCCUGCGCCAAGCUCGCCUACAAAUUCUUCGGACCGUACACCGUCGUCGAGAAGAUCGGCCUCCUAGCGUACAAGCUCGAUCUUCCCGCGUCCAGCCGCGUCCACCCAGUCUUCCAUGUCUCCCAAUUGAAGCCGUUCACGCCAUACUACACUCUCGUGUACGCCGAGCUGCCACGCGUACCAGACCUGUCCGUGUCUAGCGCAGCCCCGACACGCAUUCUGGAACGACGCAUGAUGAAGAGGGGCAAUGCACCAGUCGUUCAAAUCAAGGUGCAGUGGGGCGACAGUUCACCCCUGGCAGUCACCUGGGAGGAUCUCGACGUCCUGCGCUUUCCGGAUGCAAGCAUUUGGGAUGACGACGCCGCCAGCUCUCAGGAGGAGGCACAAUCUCAAGGAGAGGAGAAUGUCACGCCUGGCCACUUGGCCACCACUUGUCCAGCGUGACGUGGCAAGGAUAGGGCCCCGCCUGUAAGUGAAGCGAGUGGGUGAGAGGAGAGGAGAGGAGAGGGGAGUGUUUAAAUAUGCACCAGCCGGGCUGUGGUUGGGCAUGUGAUGUGAUAGCUGUAAACCUCAUCCCCAAUCAUUCCUCUUAACGCCGUUCUUCUUCCUCCCCAAGUCUCUCCCUCUCGCUCUCCCUCACCUACCGAUCCCCUUCUCUCUUCCGGUGUGUUACAUAUUCCUGUAAAUAUUACGUACAAAGUUCCUUUAUGGAAUACAUGCCGAAGGUCAAUAAGCUACCCUUUUCUUUUUAAAAAUAUGACACUGGAGUCUUUGAGAAAACAUUGAAAGCAAAAUAAUCUUCCAUAGAUCGAUUGGGGAAGAUGGGCCUGUCCAGUAUGCUGCUAUUUCAACCCAAUGUUGAGUCUGUACUACACCCGUUUCUGAUUUUUCGAGGCAUUCCACGCAAACAGACCAUGAAUCAUAAAAUUGUUGUCCAUAAAAGAGAAUAGCUCAACUUGGAAAACAUCUCGGACAGAUGUGAAAUCGCUCACAGAGACGCAUGACAAAACAGCUAGCUAUCUCAGACUUGGCGGCUACCUAAACGUCACAAAAUUUCAGCAGUAGAUAGCUACGUACUAUCGAACAAACGAAAAUUCAGCAUUAGACAUUCCCAGCUACACAUCCAUGUGUCGUGCUAAAAGCCUAAACACUUACUUGAGUUGAUGCAGGACUCAAGCAUUGAGCUUCAGCCGGCUUCUCCUUCUUUUCUGAACCCAUCUUAGGCCAGUUCCUGUUUCUGUGAGCACACCCUGAUUGAACCACUGCUCUACAAUCUGCUCUAAUAGCUAGCAACUCAGCGUCUAAGCGUCAAGUAAUCAAGGAUAUGGCUUGCCAGAAUAGUACUACCUCCAUUCCAAAAUAAACCAUGUUUUGGUCUUAUAUUUCGAAACGUCACAAAAAGGAUAUGUAGAUUUGUCUAAAUUUAGAUGUAUGCAUAUACCAAAUAUUGUUUAGAUACAUCCAAAUUUAGAUAAAUUUUAGACAUCCUUUUUGACACGGAGGGAGUAUUUUCUAAUGAAGAGAGAAUCAUAGUACUUCGUCAUUUGAAGGAGUACUUCUCAACUGCGAUUUUGUAGUGUGAACAAAAUCUGAUGCAAGAAAUGUAGGGUCGACCUUUUUCUACUUUUGAAAACCCAAAAGUUUAUGUCACACCUCGAUCGUAGAUAUAAACUGACACCGCCAAGAACACAAUCGACUGCAAAUUCAAGAAAGCACAGUCAUUGUUUAGGAAGUGUAAUUGCAUAAAGAGAAGAUAAAUUGCCCAAAAAAGUGCAGUUUAGACGGACAUUACGACAGAUAGAACAAAUAACUCAGCCUUUAGUCAAAAUAUAACAUUUGGUUCUAGCUUCAUAUAAAUAUUUUGUACAGAACUCCUUUUUAUUGAUAUAUACAACAUGGUAUGUUAUAGUUUGAGACAAAAGAAUAAUUAUAUUUAUUUUAGUAGAGAAAUUAGUGAUAUGAUAUUAAUUUUGUUGUGAGAGAAAAUGAACAUAGUAUUCCAGUGAGUCUUGUUGGCACCCUUCCUGUUUAUUGUGCUAAUGUUUUCGGUAACACCUAAAAACCACAUUUAAUGCCAAAACUGACCGGCAGAUGUCAACUCAUGAAACCUUCAUUACACUCAACCACAUCCGGAUGAAAAUCUACAAAAAAAAUACAAAAUUAAUCUUCUUUCUUGUCAGCAAUUUUGAUUAUUAUUAUCAUUUUGACCUUGAUACCGUAGGGGAAGCAAUUUUUUUUUCAGACCUAAAUUCAGUCACAGUUAGAACCAAAAAACUUUAGAAAGAUGAUUUUUCUCAAACAAAUGCUCAUCCAAGUGGUCUGAAUUCUCCUACAGAAUUUUGUCCAACCAUAAUAGCGAAAACAAACAGUUUCAAAACACCUUCGCGUGCAAAAAAAGUGUCCAUGUGUCUAAGGCCACUCAUAUUUUUCCGAUUUUUCAUUCAUACCUGUCAACUUUUCCUUGACUUUGUCCAUAGUAUGUACACAUCCUAGUGCAUGGAAAUUAAAGAGCAGAUCUAAGGAAAUGCUUCUUGCGAAAAAAUCUAAAUUACUUAUCGUUGUGUGCAUCAAUUGAUGCAUAUGUGUCGGGGUUCACUCCCCUUUCCGUUUCUAUUUUUUGCAAAAAGUCUGAAAAGUUAUCCUCAUAUUUAGUCAUAUCUGAAAAAAUACUCAAAAAUCCUCUAAUCAAGUCAACUUAGCACACAUGGAACUCACAAUUACUCAAAUCAGUUAGGCCCAAAGAUUUAAACACGACUAAGUAACACACGUAUGCAUUGACUUCACGGCUUCCUUGCCAUUGCAUCCUUUCGGGAGGAGGAAUAUAAUUAAAUACAAUAAAAUAGACAUAUUAAAUCUACUUCAAUUCCACCAAUUCUAGUGCUCUCGAAGGCAACGCCUAUGAACAGGGUUACACUUACACAAAGCUGGAUUAGGGGCGCCGCGGAGAGCCUGCUCCAAUUUGCACCCUAGCCUCUCAUACUGUAACAUCCUGACAUUUAGGGCCGGGAAAAACUAGGUAGCUUAAGAUUGUAGAUUUGCAUUCCAGUUUUGAAAAGGGUGAAUUUGCAAAAACUUAUUUUGCUUAGGUUCAAAAUGUGAACUUGGACUAGGGAUCAAAUUUUGAACUUUGGAAUUUGAAUCAAAUUUCAAAUUUGAAAAUUUUGGACUUAGCCAAAAUUUGAAAAUGGGGAUAACAAAAAUUAUUUUAGCAUCAACUUGAUUGUUUAAGUUAUUGUGCUUGAUUGUUAGUGCAUAGGAGUUGUUUGAACUCAAAGUGAAAUUCAAAUUUAAAAUUUGAAUUAUUUGAGAUAAUUAUGAUUAAAAGAUGAACUUUGAUCAAUUAUUAAAAAUCACCUACACCUCACAAAAAUGUGAAACAAGUUGCAAUGGAUAGAUAAUAAUCAUCUUUAUUGCAUACUAUUUUUACAUUACAAGAAUUGGAUCACAAUCUGAUCACAGAAAAAUAAAAUGAAAAAUACAUCAAAAAUAGAAAAUGGAAGAUCCUAUUCUAUCCUAUCUAGUCUUUUGCUCCUUGUCUUCAUCUUGAAACCUGAAAUGCACAACAACAAAAGGAAGCAUAUUGUUAUUGUUAAAAUGUUUGGUCGGUCUAAGACCAACCAGUUAAUGUGGAAUCCAUAGGAUUAAUUUCAAAAACUUGUUUUGGAAUUAAAAUAGCCAGGGCAUGGCAAAUAAUUUUAGAAGAUCAUUUCCAAACCCAAUUGAAACCAGAACAUUAGUGACAAUAAAAAUAAGCAAGUAGACCAUCUAAAUGAUCUAGUAAAAUCUAAUUGUGAACAUUGAAGAAUUGAACCAAUAGUAGAACAGUAGGUUUAGAACAUCACAUCAUUCAUAAAUAAAUACCCAGAAUAUCAAUAUCAUCAAGGAUUAGCAAAAACCACUGAUUAGCAAAUGAAGUGCCCUGACUUGGAAACCAUUUUAAGAAUAGCAUUUAGCAAAAAUUUGAUCAUGCAAAGGAUCAUGUCCUUGCUAAUCAAAAUUAGCAAGUGAUUAACAAAUGCAACCAAUAAAAGUUUAACUUGAACACAGUAUUAACAUCAGUGCGUUGCACUGGACACAUCAGAACCAAAAUCCACAAUCAAAAGUCAGUAUACAACAAAGUCAUUAAUAAACAGAUUAGUAGAUUCAUGAAAAUCAUGUAUCUGCACUAGAAACCAAAAUAUAAGUCGGUUUGGAACAGUGCUCCAGCCCCAGCCUAUAAAUACCCCCUCCCACAACACAUUUCACUCACAAAAAUCUCAAAGCAGCUCAUAAAAACACCUUAGGGCCAGAGGCUAAAGGUUGAGCCCACAAACUCCAUAGCUUGAAAGCUUGGAGAGAGAUUAAAAGGGAAAGCUCACUUGUGAGUAGCCCACACAUUAGAACACACCAGUAGUAUAGCUAGAGGAAGAAGAAGAAGGCAAGAUCAGGGGAAGCAAGGAGGUGCUACCCAAAUCUACAUCAAGCGUUCUUUGAUAUCUUCAAAGGUUUAAAUUUUUAGCUUUUAUUUCUGCAAGAGAGGGAGUGAUUAGUAGCACACACUAUUCACUGGUUGUUGUGCAUCCUCCACAGAGGAACACCACAGCCAUGCCUAGUGAAAAGGGCACAACCAUUAAAAUUUGGUGUGUGAGCUCAAGGAAGAAGAUGAAGUGGCAAUCACACACAGUGAUCACACACCUCAUAAUCCUUCUAUACAGCCCCUAUACACAUCAAAAUGGGGAUCAUAGAAUUAGUAAGAUUGUGGUAGUGGAAGUUUAUCCACUAAGUGUGAUAGUUGCAAGCUCUAAGAGAUGCAACAUAUAAUUGUAUAUUGAUUGAUAAUGAGCAUUCAAGCUCAACUGAGUGAUGUAUAUCAAAUAAAAACACCACUGUCAAUAACAGACAGAAGUGUCAUUAUUCAGUGAAGUGUCAAAUUUGAUGAGUUAAAUUGUUGCAAGUGUCUAUUGGAGUAAUGGCAAUUGUAUGUGCAAGUGUAUAGAUAUUAACCAGUAGUUAAUAUUCAUCAUAGAUAGCAUUUAGCAGAGCCCAUAGAAGCAAUAUGAGCAACUGAAUCUCAACACUGUCAAAAGUGUUAAAAUUCAGAAGCUAAGACUGCAGAUUAAAGCAGUCAAGUCUAGGUUGAUCUAGGAUUGAGCAUAGAGCAUAUAUAGCUAGGUUAAAGUUAAGCAAGACCACCACAAGUUCAUAAGCAGAGAGAUGCAUAUCUCUGACAGAACUGUCAAAGUUCAGUCAAGUAUUGCAAGUGUGAGCAGCAGAGCAAGUAAUCAACAGUAGUAGUAGCAGUAGUAUUCUAAGUGCAAGAUUAACACCAUAGAUCGUAGCUAAACCCCCAGCAAGCCAGCAUGACUGAAGAAAUUCUUCAGAAACCCUAGAAUUUUUCCCAAAGGGGAAAGCAGUGUAAGAGAUCGUUUGAUAGCAGUCAUGGCAGAGAGAGGAGUUGGGAGAGAGAGUGAAAAGGGCGGCUGAGCCACUUACCUGGACCAGCGUGGCCUAGCCACGGUGGCCGGAGAACGACGGAGCACGGUGGUGGUCGCCAGGACAGGGAACCCCAUGCCAGGGGAUACGACCUGUUCUGAAGCGAACAACAGCCGAAGGAGAGCGAGUAGCGGCCAGGGAGGCCGGCGAUAGAAUCAACCUCGUCGGAGACGAGGAAGACGCACGCCAUCCCGAACCCUAAUCCUCUAGGGUUAGUUGCGUGAGCUCCAGAGAGUGAGAGAGAGAGAGAGCGAUUAGCUAGGGGAGGUGAGAGAGUAGAGGGAGGCCAUCAGUUUGACGGCAGCGCCAUGGCCGGAGCUGGCCGGAGACGGCCAGGGCAGGGCGGCGGCGGCGCUGGCGACCGCGUCACCAUUGGCGUCGCGAGUGUGCGCGCGCGUGUGUGCGCGUGAGAGGGAGGGCGCGGUCUGGUUCGACCAGACCGGCGACCCGGUUCGGUCGGUUUGACCGAUUAGGUCAAGGACCUGUUUGUAAGAAAUUUAAGUCUAGGGACUUGUUUGUAAAUUGACCAUCUCUUUUCAUUUAAUAGUCCAAAAAUAUUGAAAAAUAUAUUUUUGGAAAUCUAAAAAUAUAACCUAUAAGGUUAUGUGAUUAGUUUGAAUUGUGUGAAUAAUUAUUUUAGAAGAUUAUUUUUGUUGAUACAUGUGGUGAAAAAUGAAUAUUUAUUAUUCAAAAUUCACAAAAGUAUUUUUCCUUCAAGGGAAAAAUUCUUAAAAACUAUUUGGUGUGUUGUGUGAUCUUUUGAAAACCAAAAUUUUAAUUAUGUCUUUUUAAAUGACCUGGGUAUUAUUAAAGUACCAAAAAGAAAACAAUAACAAGAAUAAUAUUUUCCAAGUUGGGAAUAUUAUUUUAAACUCAAAAAAUACUAUUUUGGAUAUGAAAAUAUUCAAGAUAAGUUAAUAUUGAAAUCAUAUCUAUGAAUUUCUUCCGAAAGUCUACAAUAUAUCCGUCUUUGCGGCAUAGAAAGAUUUUACAAAGUUUUGGCUAUCUGCGAUCCUUCCGGUGGCUCACUUGCUUAUCCGGUUGUUUGAUCAACGAUGUGCUUCAGUUUGAUGGAUCUUUUUAUAGCGAAGCAGUAUAUCCCUUGUGACUAAGGAGUUGAAUUCUACAUAUAUAUGAAAAUUCUAAAGUGAAAUCCAUAUGAAAAUUCUAAAGUGAAGUUCAUAUGAGCAACCUUAAUAAUCAACACACGGGAAAGGGUUUUCAAAACUAUUUCGCACAUAAUCUCUUAAAUGAUUUGGAUCUUAAAACAUUGUCUUCUACUUGGACAAUGACGAUUCUUCAGAACCCGAGCUCCAGGGUCAAGCAAAACCUUUGAACUGCAUUAUCCCGCAGUUUCCAGGCAAGUUCAUUGUUGGCAAGUUUAUUCUUGCUCAUGUCCAUUGAAUAUUUUCAGCAAUAUAAUUUUGCAUAGUAUUUCAUACCACUUGCAUUCAAAAUGCUUUUCAAAUAAAUUGAUGGAUGAUGGAAUCAUGGUAUGUUGUGCGAUCGGAGUAUCGUACGAUGGAGAUUCCAUUAUACCGGGAAUGAAUAGGAAAUUAAUAACAACUGUUAUCAGUCAUUCCAAAGCGCCGUAAAUCGCGCUGACCACAGAACUUGGUAUGGGACAAGCAAAUCAGAAGUUACUUCGGAGUUCCGUAUAUCCCCGGAGGCGUAGUCGGAUUGAUAUGCCAUUAGGGGAAAUCAAUGGGUGGGAGCCCAUGGUAAACGUCCCUACUCUGUGCUGCAGAGUAACGACUAUUGUCUUCUAGCUGAGAGGGUGAUUAAUGCGGGUCAGGGAUCCGUAUUGGUUACAAUGGGUGGGUUACGGAAUGAGGCGGUGCUCGGCAUGAUUUGGCUAUACUUGGUACCGGCCACAUACCUCAGGUAGUAUGUUAUUGGCAAGAGGGCCAAGGACAUUUGUGGGCAAACUAGCGCACCUCUGCAGAGUGUAUUGAAUUGUGACAUGUUACUCCCUAUUCCGGGAAGGAAUUGCGAAUGUCGCGUGGAAAGGAACUACGCAAAAGUUCUAACAACCCGUGAGGGAUGAUGGACAUAGAUUUAAUUAUUAAAACUUGAAUCACCAACAAAACCUUUUCAAAAACUUGCAUAUGUUUGGAUAUCUUUGAUUCCGAACAACUUUUUCAUUUAUCAUGAAACACCUUUUUAUCUAGAACUUGCUGAGUACGCCUGUACUCAAUCUAUCUUCGCAACCCUUGCUUUAGACUAUGAGAACAGCGAAGACUUGUCUGAGGACAAUGAAGAUCAAUUCUACGAAGAACAGGAUCUUUCCGGAGGUGUAGAAGGAGUAGACUACGGCAUAGUCUACGGUACUAGUGACGAGGAGCCCGAUGCUGAAGCGUAGAAUAUUAGUUCCACUAGUUGAGCUUGCAGCCUCGUAGAUAAAUAAGUUGCAAAUGCUCGCAAUGGUUUUAAGUCUUUUACUUCCAUUGCUCAUUAGAUUUUCUAGUUUGAAUUUGAAUUUGAAUGAGACUCCUCAAUGGACCGAGGAUGAUCUCGAAGCUUUUGUGCACUUUUGGUUGCUAUCCAUGAACACGUAAAGUUGCGGACCCGCAAUGUUUCUGUUGUACCAUUCUGAGGGAUGUGAUAUUUACGAAAGCGGACUUUUGUGAGUAUUUAUAUCAACGACUUGUACACUACAUAUGCAGUGGUGUACUGGGUCACCGCAGCUGGUAUCAGAGCAAUGCUUCGACCUUAGGUUGGACGACCUAGUAUAGGGAAUAGCCUGUAGGAGCCGAGUGACGUUAAGAUGAGAAUUCUCUAAGGACUAAGAUGGGUAUUCAAAUGAGAAUAUUCUGUCGAAUACUUAGUGCUAUAAUUCUUUUUCUUAGUUUAGCAAAUUUUUGCUAAAUUGUCAUGUUUUCUCUUAGCAGUCAGGAAAGAUGGGUGAAAUGCCUUAUCGAACCGUGGUUGUGACGAGAGCUAUUUAACUGACUAUCAUGGAGGACUAGAAGAAAUCCUGAAGCAGUUGUUAGUAGCAUGUAACUGUAUUCCAAAGGCACCCGUUAGAGAAUAUGCUCACUCUGACGGAAGGAUACCGGUGAAGUAUCGUGUUACCAUACAGUUACCGAGGGAGAUAGGUGGUGGGUAUCUUUUACCCUUUGGAGAGUCUAGGAUAGCGGCAGUUGCAAGGGAGAUUGCAUUUUUCGAGGAAAUUACUACGAUUCGUGGUUAUUGUACCAAGGAACUCGCGGGAAGUGUUUUCAUGACUAUUCCUUGCGGAGACUUUGAUGAAGCCUUGAAGCGGGAUCACGUCUCUUUUGUGAGAGAUAGUCCUGAGAUGACGGCAUGAUAUCUGGAUAGGUGCACGUCCUUGUUGGAAAUCUUUUAUCUGCUCCACAUCAACUUGGUCACAGACCAUGAGCAGUUACUAGAUGAUUUCUCAGACCAUGACGUGGUAUUGGAGAGGAGACGGCAAUAUGACAGAGGUGGAGUAUCAACAUGCACAUCCGCCGGAAGAGGAAGAGCCAAUGGAGGAAGAAUUAGAGGAGGAAUUGGGAGAUGGCAUAGUGGUUAAUGGAGUUGUGCCAGAGUCAAAUUUGGACACACCAACACCCUACGAGCCAAUACUAGCUAGGGAAGGUUACUACAUCAAUGAUAAUGGUUGGGAAGUACCCGAUUCGUUUCGAGAUAUAAUCCCUACUGGGUGGGGCACGGACGAUGAGGACUUACCUCAUUAUGAUGUUGAUCCAGAGCCAAGGGUUGGCAGAACCCAGUGGCAGGUGAUUGAUCUGAGCAAGUUGAACAUGCAAGAGCAUGAGGAGACGGAAGAGUCAAGGGCGGAAUAUGCUCUUUGUCUAGAGGCCUUAGAUGCAUGUCAGGAACCCCUUGUUUACAAAGACUGGGGAAGCGACAUUGAGAUGACACCACUUCCUUGUUUUUACAUGGAGGAUGGACGUCCUUAUUAUCCUGACAUGAAGCUAGAGGAUGAGCCAUGGGUACUCGAGUUUGAUGCAGAAGGUAGUAUGCACAUUCAAGAUAUUAUCGAGGGCCAGACAAGGUAGAAGAAAUGUGGCAAGGUUUAGAUAGCUUCUUUGCUGAAGAAGAUGCUAAGGUAAUGCCGAGAGGAACUCGGACUUACGAGACGAUUGAGCCAGUUGAGAUACCGAGCACUCUUAGAAGGUCUACUCGUUUCACGGGAUAUACUCCGGGAAAGUAUUACGAGAGUGACCGAACCUUCGCAAGCAGCUUCUAGAAGUCUUUUUAGGGAGCAUUAGGAAGAAGUUUAGUAGAGUAUUGCGUAUUGUAUGUGUGGGGUUUGUGAACCGAAUAAAUGAGCUUCAUCUCAAAUGUAUAUGUGUGUACAGAAGGCAUGUAUAUACAUGGUAUAUGUUCGUUUGCAAACCAUUGUGUCUGAAAUGUUUAAAUUAUGCAUCUAAGAUGAAGUGAAUGAUUUGCAACCAUUUGGAUUUUAUUUGGAUCUUGAGUUAUUGUGUGACUAGCACUAUGCAUUGAAAACGAACAACCCACUGUGCAUCUGCAUAAUGCAACAUGGUGUUCUGACGUAAGUGCAAUAGGUCUAGAGGUUAAUGUCCGCAAACCAAGUAGAGACCCAAAAUGAACGCUGAGAUAGGGAAACCCGACAGAAGGCAACGGUCGAGGUGGCCAAUCGAAGUCAAACCUCAACCGAUUCGCAGCCCUUGUCAGAGCAAAGUUUCAUGCGAUUUCUGCAAUUGGUGGAAGAAAGAAGGGACAGGACCAAGAAGUCCAAAAUAAGCUUAUGCACCAUGUCUUGUCGCAAAACCGUGACCAAGGACAAAAUAAUGGAGGACGAGGAGUGAGUCUAUCAGAUUUUCAAAAUACAAGACCACUUAUGUUUGCUUCAACCACAGAACCUAUGGAUGCCGAAGAUUGGCUAAGAGAUACUGAAAGAAAAUUAAAUGUCGUCGGCUGUAACGACGAGGAAAAACUGCGGUAUACAUCAUAUUUGUUAACAAGACCAGCAGCAACUUGGUGGGAGACUAUGCUAGCAAUGCAACAACCAGGGUCACUAGUUACUUGGACUGAAUUUAAGGAUAGGUUUCGUAGUACUCAUGUUCCUGAAAGUAUUAUGGAGCUUAAGAGACGGGAAUUUGAGAAUGUACGUGAGAAUGAUUCUCCGAUUCUCAGAUAUGUCCGGGAAUUCAGCAUGCUAUCUCGUUAUGCACCUGACGAGGUGGAUACUGAAGACAAACGGAUGAAGAGGUUCAUGAAAGGUUUGAACCCAUACAUGAGGAUGCAGUUGCGUUUAACUGGACACCGUAAUUUUCAAGAAUUAGUUGAUGCAGCAAUUACCUUGGAGGAUGAUUAUAAAGGUGUUCAAGAGGAAAGGAGGAAGAAAGCGCGAACAGAUCCAAAGCGUUUUCAAGAUCAGAAACCAACACCCAAUCUGACCUUUAAACCUAAACCGAGCCCGGGAAAUUUCAACCCUAAACCUAAUCCCAACAAGGGAAUCCCAAAUCCCAAGAGCAAUGUGAAAUGUCACAACUGUGGAGUAAAGGGACAUUACAAGUCAGAGUGCAGGCAAGCCAAAGUAAUUUGAUAUGGAUGUGGACAGCCUGGACACAUGAAACCUAAUUGUCCGAAUAAACAAAACUUUACACCACCAUCGGGCGGGAUACGACCAUCAAUAGGAACGGCAGCUUCCAGAGGAAGGAACCCUCGAGACAACAAAGGCAAGCCAUAUGGAAAGCUGAACUGUACCAGUGUAGCGGAAGUGAUCAACUCAGAAGAAGCAAUUCUAGGUACGCUUGACAUUAUGACUUAUCCGGGGAAAGUUCUGUUUGAUACCGGGGCAACGACGUCAUUUAUCUCAAAAGAAUUCAUAGACGCGUAUGGGCUUACGUGUAGAUUGUUAGACCGACCUAUUACGAUUAUGUCUGCGGGAGGAACAGUAUUAGUAAUGCGGCAACGUUUAAAGCAAAUCCUUAUGAUUUGCGGAUACGAGUAUUUCGUGGAUCUAUUCGUUAUACCGAUGAGCGAUAUAGCAAUCAUUCUGGGAAUGGAUUAGUUAGUAAGUCAUGGAGCUCAAAUAGACUAUGGUGAGAACACGGUAGCAAUUAAGAAUCCAACUAGAGAGAAAGUUGUGUAUCAAGGAGACCCGAAUGCAAGAUUAGAGGCAGAAUUACAGUUGAAUUCACUCAAAGAGGUCAGAAUAGAGGAUAUCCCAAUCGUUAGAGAAUUUCAAGAUGUAUUUCCACAAGAGUUACCAGGAAUGCCACCUGAUAGAGAAAUAGAGUUCACAAUUGAUUUAAUACCGGGCACAUCACCAAUAGCCCAAGCACCAUACAAAAUGGGGCCAAAGGAGUUAGUAGAAUUAAAGGCACAGAUAGAUGAACUCAAGGAGAAAGGAUUUAUAAGAGAAAGUGUAUCUCCUUGGGGAACGCCUGUGAUAUUUGUGGAUAAGAGAGAUGGAGGUAGAAGGAUGUGUGGGGACUACCGAAAUCUGAAGAAUGUCACUAUCAAGAAUAAGUAUCCGUUACCGAGAAUACAAGAUUUGUUUGAUCAAGCCAAAGGAUCAGGAGUUUUCUCAAAGAUAGACUUAAGAUCAGGAUACCAUCAGAUAAAGAUUAAGGAGGAAGAUAUUCCAAAAACAACAUUUGUCACAAGAUAUGGACACCAUGAAUACUUGGUUGUACCAUUUGGAUUAACCAACGCACCAGCCAUAUUCAUGAAUUUGAUGAACAAGAUAUUUAUGCCUUAUUUGGAUAAGUUUGUCAUAGUAUUCAUUGAUGACAUACUAGUGUAUUCCAAAGACAAAUCAGAUCAUGCAAAACACCUCAGAAUAGUUUUGCAAACACUCAGAGAACACCAACUUUAUGCCAAGUUUAGUAAAUGUGAGUUCUGGUUAGACAGAGUAGAAUUUCUUGGACAUGUAAUUACCAAGGAAGGAAUAGCUGUAAAUCCAGAAAAAGUUCAAAUAGUUUUGGAAUGGCAAGCACCCAAGAAUGUAAAGGAAAUCAGAUCAUUUCUUGGAAUGGCCAGAUAUUAUAGGAGAUUCAUAGAAGGAUUCUCCAAGAUAGCUGGACCAAUGACAAAACUUUUAAGAAAGAAUGUACCUUUCAUCUGGGACAAGAAGUGCGAGAAAUUUUUUCAAGAACUAAAGGAAAGACUGACAGCAGCACCAGUUUUAGCAGUUCCUGAACCAGGAAAGGACUAUACAGUAUAUUGUGAUGCAUCAAAGAAUGGACUAGGUUAUGUGCUAAUGCAAGAUAGGAAAGUAAUUGCAUAUGGAUCAAGAUAGUUACGACCUCAUGAACUUAACUAUCCAACACAUGAUCUAGAGUUAGCAGCAGUAGUUCAAGCACUAAAGAAUUGGAGACAUUUCUUAUAUGGAUCAAAGUGCGAACUAUAUACAGAUCACAAAAGUCUUAAAUAUUUCUUCACUCAGAAAGAUUUGAAUAUGAGACAACGAAGAUGGUUAGAAUUAAUCAAGGAUUAUGACUUGACCAUAAACUAUACUCCGGGAAAAGCUAACGUUGUAGCAGACGCGUUAAGUCGAAAAGCCACGUGCAACAUGUUAGAAGGGAGGAGAAUGCCAAAGGAAUUGCAAAAAGAAGUUGCACAAAUCCAGAAAGAUUACUGGGAAGGAGAACCCCAGAAUACUAUUGAAAUAAUAGAAGCCUUAGCUAAGAUGAAUAUGGAUCUAGAAGGAGAAAUUUUAAAGAGGCAGAAAGAAGAUCUGUUCAUAGUUGAGGAAAUCCGUAGAAUUGACGAAGGAAGGUCAUCCAUGUUUGAACUCCGGGAGGAUAAUUCAUUAUGGUUUCAAAACAGGAUCUGUGUACCAGAUAUUCCUGAGAUCAAAGAAUUAAUUUUCAAAGAAGCACACCAAACACCUUACUCUAUACAUCCAGGAAGUACAAAGAUGUAUAUGGACCUAAAGGCUGUAUUUUGGUGGAACAAUAUGAAGAAAGAAAUAGCGAAGUAUGUUUCAAAAUGUCAUACUUGUCAGAGAGUUAAAGCCGAACAUCAGAGUCCUGCUGGAAAACUACAACCCUUACCAAUUCCCAAAUGGAAGUGGGAAGAUAUAGGAAUGGAUUUUGUUACCGGAUUACCUAUGACCAAAAAUCACAAGGAUAUGAUCUGGGUAAUAGUUGAUCGGUUAACAAAGAGUGCACAUUUUCUAGCAGUAAAUCAGAAAGACAGUUGUGAAAAACUUGCCGAAAUCUAUGUCAAUGAGAUUGUCAGCAAGCACGGUGUACCAAAGAGAAUAGUAUCAGAUCAAGGAUCAAUCUUUACAUCAGCAUUUUGGAAGCAUCUGCAAAAAGCUUUAGGAACCCAAUUAGACUUUAGUAUUGCAUACCAUCCACAAACUGGAGGACAGACAGAAAGAACAAACCAAAUACUUGAAGAUAUGUUAAGAGCUUGUGCUUUAGAUUUUGGUGGAUCAUGGCAUGAACAUCUACCAUUAGCAGAGUUUUCUUACAACAACAGUUACCAAAGCAGUAUCAAAAUGGCACCUUUUGAAGCACUUUAUGCAAGAAAGUGCAUAUCACCUGUUUGUUGGUCUGAAGAUACCGGAAGUAAAGAAUUUGAGACAACAUACAUCGGAGAUCAACGGCAUGUGAUUGAUAUCAUCCGAGACAGAUUAAAGAUUGCUCAGAGUAGACAGAAAAGUUACGCAGAUUUGAAAAGAAGAACAUGGGAACCCCAAGUCGGAGAUAUGGUAUAUUUAAGAGUCAGUCCAACAAGAGGAAUUAAGAGAUUCGAGGUUAAGGGGAAGUUAAGUCCUCGAUACAUUGGGCCAUUUAAGAUAUUAAGUCAGAAAGAAACAGUGGCCUAUGAGCUGGAAUUACCGACACAAUUAUUUCAAGUUCACAAUGUAUUCCAUGUUUCGCAACUCAGAAAAUGUUUGAAAGUACCGAAAGAACCCUUGAGCUAUACAGAGCUAGAAUUGAAAUUACAUUUGACCUAUGAAGAGAAACCAACCAAAAUUAUUGGUGAAAAAUGGAAGUAGCUUAGAAAUAGAGCGAUAAAGUAUUGUAGGGUGCAGUGGAAGCACCAUCCCGAGAGAGAAGCCACGUGGGAGAAAGAGGACGAUUUACGAAGGGAUUAUCCUUAUCUCUUCAGGUACCAAGUUCCGGAAACUUCGGGACGAAGUUCUUAUAAGGGGGAGAGGAUGUAACAUCCCGACAUUUAGGGUCGGGAAAAACUGGGUAGCUUAAGAUUGUAGAUUUGCAUUCUAGUUUUGAAAAGGGUGAAUUUGCAAAAACUUAUUUUGCUUAGGUUCAAAAUGUGAAGUUUGACUACGGAUCAAAUUUUGAACUCUAGAAUUUGAAUCAAAUUUCAAAUUUGAAAAUUUUGGACUUAGCCAAAAUUUGAAAAUGGGGAUAACAAAAAUUAUUUUGGCAUCAACUUGAUUGUUUAAGUUAUUGUGCUUGAUUGUUAGUUCAUAGGAGUUGUUUGAACUCAAAGUGAAAUUCAAAUUUAAAAUUUGAAUUAUUUGAGAUAAUUAUGAUUAAAAGAUGAACUUUGAUCAACUAUUAAAAAUCACCUACACCUCACAAAAAUGUGAAACAAGUUGCAAUGGAUAGAUAAUAAUCAUCUUUAUUGCAUACUAUUUUUACAUUACAAGAAUUGGAUCACAAUCUGAUCACAGAAAAAUAAAAUGAAAAAUACAUCAAAAAUAGAAAAUGGAAGAUCCUAUUCUAGCCUAUUCUAUCCUAUCUAGUCUUUUGCUCCUUGUCUUCAUCUUGAAACCUGAAAUGCACAACAACAAAAGGAAGCAUAUUGUUAUUGUUAAAAUGUUUGGUUGGUCUAAGACCAACCAGUUAAUGUGGAAUCCAUAGGAUUAAUUCCAAAAACUUGUUUUGGAAUUAAAAUAGCCAGGGCAUGGCAAAUAAUUUUAGAAGAUCAUUUCCAAACCCAAUUGAAACCAGAACAUUAGUGACAAUAAAAAUAAGCAAGUAGACCAUCUAAAUGAUCUAGUAAAAUCUAAUUGUGAACAUUGAAGAAUUGAACCAGUAGUAGAACAGUAGGUUUAGAACAUCACAACAUUCAUAAAUAAAUACCCAGAAUAUCAAUAUCAUCAAGGAUUAGCAAAAACCACUGAUUAGCAAAUGAAGUGCCCUGACUUGGAAACCAUUUUAAGAAUAGCAUUUAGCAAAAAUUUGAUCAUGCAAAGGAUCAUGUCCUUGCUAAUCAAAAUUAGCAAGUGAUUAACAAAUGCAACCAAUAAAAGUUUAACUUGAACACAGUAUUAACAUCAGUGCGUUGCACUGGACACAUCAGAACCAAAAUCCACAAUCAAAAGUCAGUAUACAACAAAGUCAUUAAUAAACAGAUUAGUAGAUUCAUGAAAAUCAUGUAUCUGCACUAGAAACCAAAAUAUAAGUCGGUUUGGAACAGUGCUCCAACCCCAGCCUAUAAAUACCCCCUCCCACAACACAUUUCACUCACAAAAAUCUCAAAGCAGCUCAUAAAAACACCUUAGGGCCAGAGGCUAAAGGUUGAGCCCACAAACUCCAUAGCUUGAAAGCUUGGAGAGAGAUUAAAAGGGAAAGCUCACUUGUGAGUAGCCCACACAUUAGAACACACCAGUAGUAUAGCUAGAGGAAGAAGAAGAAGGCAAGAUCAGGGGAAGAAAGGAGGUGCUGCCCAAAUCUACAUCAAGC
rnacentral:lncRNA from 1 species